CAGUUUGCUAUUUGUAAUUUUAUCAGGUUGGGGGACGAAACACUGUGCUCGUUGAUGCUGUUCAGAAAAGAAUUCCUCUUGUGACUGAUAGACCUACAAUUAUAUUUGGUGCAAAUGUCACCCAUCCACAACCAGGAGAAGACUCUAGCCCUUCUAUAGCGGCUGUAUGUACACUCGUCUUUUGUUUCUGCUUUCUAGUAAUUCACUCUGUUAAAAGAUUGAAUUGACUGAGACAGGUGGUGGCCUCAAUGGAUUGGCCAGAAGUAGCCAAGUACAGAGGGCUUGUCUCUGCUCAGGCACCCCAUGAGGAAAUUAUCCAAGAUCUCUAUAAAUCUAUUCAAGAUCCUCAAGGGGGUUUAGUUCAUGGAGGAAUGAUCAGGUUAGUAGACAUGGAAGUACAUAUCAGGUGCCUUAAUUAAGAGAAACUUAUGCUUCUGUUUGUCUUUUACAGGGAACUGUUAAUUGCCUUCAGAAGAUCAACCAACUUUAAACCUCACAGGAUUAUUUUCUACCGGUAAUUGCUGUUUUCAAUGUUAAACUGUUUGUUUUGUAGAAUGUUACUGAUGUUGUUUCAUUUAUGUGCCAGAGAUGGUGUUGGUGAAAGGCAGUUCAGUCAGGUUUUGCUCCAUGAAAUGAAUGCUAUCCGACAGGUAAUGCUGAUGAUUCCUGAAGUUAAAAUGAUUUUCUUGUGUUCAAGAGAUUUUCAUUAUCUAGCUUCAGUUAAUGCCUUUAUGAUAGCUUUUGUUGCAACAUGCUAAAUUGAUUUAUUUCCAGGCCUGUGCCUCACUUGAGGAGGGAUAUGCGCCACCAGUUACGUUUGUUGUGGUACAGAAAAGGUGUCGUACUCGCCUUUUUCCUGCUGAGAACAACAGAUGCGAUCUGACAGAUAGGAGUGGAAAUAUUUUACCAGGUUCCAAGUUUGCUUUGUAUUAUUAAUCUUUAUAUCCUAUUUGCUUCUUUUGACUAUUCACAACAGCUGGGAACCAUGUCGUUGCCUAACCUUGUGUUUGACGAUUGUUUUUGGGAUGUCCUUGUGUUAGGAACCGUUGUUGAUACUGAAAUUUGUCAUCCUACAGAAUUCGAUUUUUACCUCAACAGUCAUGCAGCAAUUCAGGUAAAAAAUAAGUUUGCUCUUUCAAUCCAAAUUUUAUCCAUCUAGACUUACUCUCGAUGAACAUUGUACACUUUUUUUUUUUUUUCCACCUAUAAUUUUUAAAUGCGUUGGACUGACUAAGGUGUUUAUUCCAGGGAACCAGUCGACCAACUCGCUACCAUGUAUUGUAUGAUGAGAACCGUUUUACUGCAGAUGGCCUGCAAGUGUUAACAAAUAACUUGUGUUACACGUAAUAUGUUUACCUUCUCUAUAACUGGAUUUAAUAUUGCAUUGUUGAAGAAUUUAUCUUUGGAAUGGUUAUUCUGUAAGUUUUGACUCAUGGCCCAUUUUCAGGUACGCAAGGUGUACUCGAUCAGUUUCCAUAGGUCUGAUCCUCGUACUUCUGUUGCUUUCCUAAAAACAUUUUCAAUCAAUGAAUUAUUUAUUACUCUGGCAAGCAUUGAUUAUUUUUUAAUUUUUAUUGGUUGAUUUCAUAUGGCAGUGCCUCCUGCAUAUUAUGCAUAUUUAGCAGCUUUUCGGGCUCGUUAUUAUAUCGAGGAUGAAACAUCUUCUGGUGGAUCCACAGAUGGGAACAGGAGCACGGCAGAGAGGAAUUUGGCUAUCCGGCCACUUCCCGUCAUCAAGGAUAAUGUGAAAGAUGUAAUGUUUUAUUGCUGAAAGUAGUCUUCAGCCUUUAUCUCUUAUGUCAUGGUUUUCAUAAAGGCUUGACCUAUUUUGGUAGACGGAGAACCAGCGUUUUGCAUUUUUGGACCGUACUGUUAUUUUGGGAGUAGUUUCAAAUUCGACAUCUAGAGUAGAAACUACUUAUCCUCAGCUUAAAAAUAUAAGCCGCAUGUUCUCCCAGUUAAUGCCUUGUCAAUUUAAAUGCAAAACAACUCCAUACAUAUUUUGUCCAUAAGGGUAUUGAACUGUGUAUGCUUCCUUUUUUUCCUUCAAUUACACCUUAUUCCUCCUGGACGGUGGCUUCUGAAUUACUUUCUUUGCUUUUUGAGAGUUAAAGCAAUUCCGUUGCUUCGUCCACUUUAGCCGCCAACGACUCGGGUGAAUCCAGCAACGCCAGCAGCUCGGAGUGAUCCCUUUCCAAAAGCAUCUCAGUAAUCUUUAGUGCGAGAUCAUACUGUCCAACAGUUAAAUGUAAAUAGAACUAAACCAAAGCUCAAAGCAGGUGAAAAUUAUAAGUACAUUUGCAGAAGGUUAAAUUUUAGUUUACUAGAAUGACAAUUUACUAUUUACCUCAAAAAUAUGAAACAUCAAUUUAUUCCCUUUUACGGUUAAGAAGACAAAAGGAAUUCAUUAAUGCAGUAUUCAUCUAUCCUCAUCUUUUGAACGACAAUGAAAGUAAAUUAAAAAUUAUCAUUCUAUCUGGGGGAUAAAUCGAAGUUGACCCUUCGCAGAAUUAAGAUUAAUCACCGUGAGUUUCUUCAUCAGCGGGCAGAGUCUUUAGCCAAGGAUAUUUUUCCUUUGAUCAGGGGAAGCAGCAGCAAGCAUGCUGCUCAAAUAUUCAUUGGAAGCAGCAGCUCUUUGACUCCCAUUUGUCAGGUUGUUGGCAGCAGUUUGCCCGGCCCUCUAAAAUAAUGGUCAUAUGAAGUAAACAGUUAUUAAGAAGCAUUUUGUUUCAAAAAGCAAAUGGAAUACAAUUCAUUUGGUAUCAAGUAGAAAAGGCAAAAAAGGAAAAAAAAUAAUAAUCUUGUACACUCUAAAAUAAUGGAAUACAAUUCAUUUGGUUUCAAAAAGCAAAUGGAAUACAAUUCAUUUGGUAUCAAUUCAUUUAUUUUAGAGUGGCCCUCUAAAAUAAUGGCCACUCUCCCUCUCAAAUCUUGAUCCCUUUUUCCUUUUUACAGAUGCUGUAAGCUACUUUUCAUUUUACUGUUCAAGAGGGGCGGUAAAGCUAGCCGCCCUGCCCUUUUUAUUAUUUAUAUACACGCCCUCUUUUCCUCCCUCCUCCUCUCUGACACUUACUUUCUCCUCAAGCAAUCGCCCUCUCUUACUUUCUCCUCAAGUAAUCCAUCACUUCGGUUCCUCAAAAUUUUUUUCUCUCUCAUUUUACCUUUUUGUUUUCGAUAAUGUCCCGACGUGGCGGCGGUGGUCGUAGGCCGGAUUCUUGCAGUGACCAGCCGGCUCAGGCACCGGCGCCGUCUUUCCAGCGCGGUGGUGGCGAAGCCGCUGGACCACCGGGCCGAGGGCAUCAAGGUCAACGUGGCGGUACUGGUGGUGGAUCGCAUUCUGGUUCCGGUGCAGCCCCUUCCUCAUCACACGCAGCUUCGACUUCGACAGCGCAGGCUCCUUCAUCUCCGUCUGUUUCUGCAUCUGCUCCUUCUUCGUCUUCAGUUUCUACUCUUGUCGACGAAACUGAGCAGAAACUGACAUUGGCGGCACCAGCGGCGGCUACUCUUCCGCCUUCGUCGUCGCAGGCAAUGAGACUUCCGGUGAGGCCGGGAUUGGGAACUGUUGGCAGAAAAUGUGUUGUCAGAGCAAAUCACUUUAUGGUGCAACUUGCCGAGAGAGACAUUCAUCACUAUGAUGUAAGUCCACUUUUAAUUUUAGUUUUGUUAUUUUUGAAAACGUUUUGACUAUUUUUAUUUUUUUUGUUUUCUCGUCAAUUUUGAUUUUAUUUAAGAUUCACCAUUCGUGAGCGUCGACAUCGAAGGUGUCGGGGUUUUGUAGAUAUUUUAAAAGUAUGUUUAUUGUUUUGCUUAUUUAUUUAUUUAUUUUUUAAGGUUUCAAUUACUCCAGAGGUGACGUCAAAAAAGAUCAACAGACAAAUUAUUUCUCAGCUGAUUAAUUUAUAUCGGCUGACUAACUUGGGUGAACGAAUACCUGCCUAUGAUGGUAUGAAGAGCAUUUACACUGCAGGGCCGCUGCCUUUUGAAUCGAAGGAAUUCAUUAUCACGUUACCUGAUAGUGAUCCUCGUCCCAGCUCAUCUACCAGGCCGAGGUAUCUCUUGCUUUUAACACGUGUGUUUCUUGAAUAUGUUGAUUGUGAGUUUUCUUGAUUUAAUGUGUUGAGUGAUUUCUUAUGCAGAAGGGAGCGUCAGUUUAGGGUGGUUAUCAGAUUGGCGUCGAAGCCUGAUCUUUACACUCUACAGCAGUUCUUACUCCGUAGGCAUUUUGACGCACCGUACGAAGUUAUACAAGUGCUUGAUGUUGUUCUCAGAGCAGCUCCAUCAGAGAAGUAUUUAACCUUAACUGUGUUAAUAAAGUUUCACUUUUUGGUGUGUAUGAUAUAGGAUGUUCCCUGCCCAUGCCAGCAUUUGAUUGUUCAUGCAACUGAUUUAACAUUUGAUUUCUGAGUAACAAUUUUAUUAUUGUCUAUUUUGUGUCUUGAACAAUUUGGGUUUUAGAAUAGUUAAUUAAUGAAAUGAUGAACUUCUGCAUCAGGCAUACAGUUGUGGGGAGGUCAUUUUUCUCUACUGAUCUUGGACCAAUGGGUCAGCUUGGUGAUGGCGUUGAAUAUUGGCGUGGAUAUUUUCAGAGUCUUCGCCCAACCCAGAUGGGGCUAUCUCUUAAUAUUGGUAUUUCUCAUUAUAUUUUAUAUAAUUUGAUGCUGCUUAUCUUCUAUAUUAUGCAAGCUUGAUUUUGUUUUAGGUGCAGCACUGCUAUAUAAAUAUUUGCUCUUGCUGUUGCAGAUGUUUCAGCCUGUUCCUUUUAUGAACCAAUUCUAGUUACUGAGUUUGUUCAGAAGUAUUGCAGAGACUUAUCACAUCCUCUUUCUGAUGAAGUGCGUCUGCAGGUAUUGUCUAGUCUUCUUUGGUUAUGUCUUGGUUAUAAUUAAUUUAGUAUCAAUUUAAUGAGCUAUCUAUUAGGCGGUUAAAAGUUUUAAUUGAGGGCUGCAGCCCCCUAAUAUAUUUGUGAUAAGAGCAUUUUCAAAAAAUGAUCACAGAUUUGUUAGGCAAACAGUUCAGUAAUGUUUUGGACGUUGUGAAUAAUUUAUUGAUUCAAUAUUUACUUAGUUUAAUUUUUUUAGUUAACUAAUAAUAUAAAUGUUAGGAUUUAUAUACAUAUAUGCAGACACAUUGAUAGGGAAGAACCCAAAAAUUUUAUCUAGGAGAGGCUUAGUAUGAUACAAUUGCAAAAAAACUUUCAACAAAAAAUGAUAGGUGUCAAAUUAUUGAAUUUCAUUGAAUUACUGAUUUUCAACAUAAUUACGGUUUUUCUCGACUCAUUUGUAGUUUUAUAAAAUUACAUACUAUAAUAACUUCAUUGUCAACUUAAUUAAAAAUUUGAAGUUUGAACUAUAGAUUGUUGUUUGUUAUUUUCAAGUAAUAACUUAAAUUAAUAUAAAUAUUUGAGGCAAACAUAAAAAACUUAUCAUAUAUAGUAAGAAAUCUAGUUGAUCAAAUAAAUCCAACUCAACUAUUUAAAAAGUUAAAGCCGGUGACUUAAAAAAUAUGAUAUUUUUAAAAAAUUAAAGUUAUGAGAUAGACAAUUGUGUCAAUCAAUUAAGUCAUGACUUGAGCACCACUUUCAAGUCCAUAACACAUAACAAACUAAUAAAUGGACUAAAUAUAUAACAUAUUUAAAAGGAAAAUUUAUAAGUCUAGAAGGGGGUUUAAAUUAUUAAAUAGACCAAAUAAUCGUGAAUCGUACUUGGGCCUACUUUUCAUUUUACUGUUCAAGAGGGGCGGUAAAGCUAAGCCACCCUGCCCUUUUUAUUAUUUAUAUACGCGCCCUCUUUUCCUCCCUCCUUCUCCCUGACACUUACUUUAUCCUCAAGUAAUCGCUCUCCCGCUUUAUUUGUGUCACCAUCAUUUCACUUCGGUUCCCCAAAAUUUUCUCUCAUAUAUUUACCUUUCUGCUUUCGACAAUGUCUCGACGUGGUGGCGGUGGUCGUAGGCCGGAUUCUCGCCUUGACCAGCCGACUCAGGCACGGGCGCCGUCAUUCCAGCGGGGUGGCGGCGGAGCCGCUGGACCACGCGGCCGAGGUCGUCAAGGUCAACGUGGGGGUGCUGGUCGUGGAUCGCAUUCCGGCUCCGGUGCAGCCCCGUCCUCACCGCACACCGCUUCGACUUCGACGGAGCCGGCUCCUUCGUCUCCGUCUGUUUCUGCUUCUGCUCCUUCUUCGUCUUCAGUCUCUACUCUUGUCGAAGAAACGGAGCAGAAACUGAUAUUGGCGGCACCAGCGGCGGCUACACUGCGGCCUUCGUCGUCGCGGGCGAGUAGACUUCCCGAGAGGCCGGGAAUCGGAACUGUUGGCACAAAAUGUGUUGUCCGAGCAAAUCACUUUAUGGUACAACUUGCCGAGAGAGACAUUCAUCACUAUGAUGUAAGUCUACUUUUAAUUUUAACUUUGUUAUUUUUUAAAACGUUUUGACUCUUUUUGUUUUUUAUUUUCCGUUUUUCUGGUCAAUUUUGAUUUUAUUUAAGAUUCACCAUUCGUGAGCGUCGAAUUCGAAGAUAUCGGGGUUUUAUUGCUAUUUUAAAAACAUGUUUAUUGUUUUCCUUGUUUAUUUAUUUUUUAAGGUUUCAAUUGAUCAAGUCCAAGAUCUCGAAUCGAAUCGAUAUUCAGAGGUGACGUCAAAAAAAAUCAACAGACAAAUUAUUUCUCAGCUGAUUAAUUUAUAUGGGCUGACUAACUUGGGUGGACGAAUACCUGCCUAUGAUGGUAUGAAGAGCAUUUACACGGCAGGGCCGCUGCCUUUUGUAUCGAAGGAAUUCAUUAUCAAUUUACCUGAUAGUGAUCCUCGUCCCAGCUCGUCUACCAGCCCGGGGUAUCUCAUGCUUUUAACAUGUGUGUUUCUUGAAUAUUGUUGAUUGUGAGUUUUCUUGAUUUAAUGUGUCUGAGUAAUUUCUUAUGCAGAAGGGAGCAUCAGUUUAGGGUGGUUAUCAGAUUGGCAUCGAAGCCUGAUCUUUACACUCUACAGCAGUUCUUACGCCGAAGGCAUUUUGAAGCUCCGUACCAUGUUAUACAAGUGCUUGAUGUUGUUCUCAGAGCAGCUCCAUCAGAGAAGUAUUUAACCUUAACCGUGUUAAUAAAAGUUUCACUUUUUGGUUUGUUUGAUAUAGGAUGUUGCCUGCCCAUGCCGGCAUUUGCUUGUUCAUGCAACUGAUUUAGCAUUUUAUUUCUGAGGAAAAAUUUUAAUAUUGUCUAUUUUAUGUCUUGAACAAUUUAGGUUUUAGAUUGAUUAAUUAAUGAAAUGAUGAACUUCUGCAUCAGGCAUACAGUUCUGGGAAGGUCAUUUUUCUCAACUGAUCUUGGACCAAUGGGUCAGCUUGGUGAUGACGUUGAGUAUUGGCGUGGAUAUUUUCAGAGUCUUCGCCCAACCCAGAUGGGGCUAUCUCUUAAUAUUGGUAUUUCUCAUUAUAUUUUAUAUAAUUUGAUGCUGCUUCUCUUUUAUAUUAUGCAAACUUGAUUUUCUUUUUCGGUGCAACGUUGCUACAUAAAUAUUUGCUUUUGCUGUUGCAGAUGUUUCAGCCAGCUCCUUUUAUAAGCCAAUUCUAGUUACUGAGUUUGUUCAGUAUUAUUGCAGCGACUUAUCACGUCCUCUUUCUGAUCAAGUGCGUCUCAAGGUAUUGUCUAGUCUUCUUUCGUGAUGUCAUGGUUAUAAUUAAUUUAGUAUCAAUUUAAUGAGCUAUCUAUUGGGCGGUUAAAAGUUUUAAUUAAGGGCUGCAGCACUGUAAUAUAUUUGUGAUAAGAGCCUUUUCAAAGAAUGAUCACAGAUUUGUUAGGCAAACCGUUCAGUAAUGUUUUAGAUGCUGUGUAUAAUUUAUUGCAAGUAAUUAGUAGUUUAAAAUUUCAAAUUUCUUGCAAAUUUUGGAUAGGGUAAUUUCUUAAUUUGUGGCUGAACUGGUGGGUGGUGAGUAGUGUCUGUUGUUCUCGGCCAUUGAAAUCUAAAUAGAAUGAGCUCCCAAGUCUAGGGGGAAUAGAAUGUUGAUGACAGUGUUUGAUGAUUAAUGUAGGAAGUUGGUGUAUAAUUUGGCCUAUAAUUCUGAUGAUAAAGAAAUGAGAUCUUGAAAUGGCGGUUUUAAAAAUCUUCCACGCAUUCAUUUGCAAUUGUACAGUUAUCUUGAUCAACUUAUUAUCAUUCCGCUACGUAUAUUAGCAAUCUUUUGAACUAUCUGUAAACUUUUUACUUUCGAUCUAUUUUGGCCGCUAUUUGACAACUGCCCUUUAAUUAUUUUCAAAAUUAUUGCUGGGAAUUGGAUAGAGACACGUGCUCAAUGAUAUUAAUAUAAUUGUUUAAUUCUUGACUUCUAGGUGAAAAAGGCAUUGAAGGGAAUAAAGGUAGUGCUCAGGCAUAUGGGGUACAACUUAAGUUGCAAGAUCACUGGAAUAACCAGUCAACCGAUGAGCCAAGUAAUGUAUGUGUGUGUGUAAUUAACUGAUAUACAAGUGUAAGAACACUGUCCAACUUGUGGUGAUAGAGUGUGAUAACAUAACUUGGUGGUUUGGUUGUGUUUAUGUUGGUCGAUUUGUUUAUGUUAGCUGAUUCUUGAGUCCCCCACGCCAUUUGAGAAGCAUACUUUAUGUUGCCUGCUUUUGUCGUCAUCUGAAAUCCACAUAUGGUUAAAUUUGUCUUCUGUGUUGUAUUUUAUGUAUGAUUGAACUACUUGGUGGUAAAAAGUUUGGCGGAUGUGUCUCAAAUCAAUUUCUCAAAUCUGAUAUGUGAUAGUAGUUGGCUACUAUGUAGUGCGAUGGUCACUUGAUAUUGCGUGUAACAGUGAUGUAUCCCUCCUUCCAUGUUAUAGUAGGCAUUCACGUUAUAUCUUCCCUUUGAUUGUAUUUGCUAGGUUUACUUCUGACAAUGAGACAAGGUCGGUGGUUCAAUAUUUUCUUGAAAAACAUAAAAUUGCGCUUCAAUUCACGUCAUUGCCUGCCCUUGAAGCUGGAACUGAAGAGAGGCGCAUUUAUUUGCCAAUGGAGGUUCUAUGAUCAAAAGACUACUUUCAUUCUUUGUGUCUGGAAAAUAAUUUAUUUAAGACUUAUUUAUAGAAUAUUUUUGUUUCCAGCUUUCUAGGAUUGUCGAGGGACAGAGAUAUACUAAAAGAUUAAAUGAAAGACAAGUAACUGCUCUUUUAAGAGCAACUUGUCAGCGUCCUCGGGAUCGUGAAGCAAAUAUACAGACGGUAGAGCAUUGUUGUAAUUUCUUACAUCUGUGGUGGAUCUUUUUUGGAUGAUUAAUCUGGGAGCUAUCUUCUUGUGAACAAAGAGAGUUUCUGAUUCUUGCUUCUGGGUUUGACAUUCUUCUGCAGAUGGCUAGGAAAAAUGCUUACAAUGAAGAUACUCUUGUGAACAAGAAGUUUGGAAUUCAAGUGGCUGAUGGUCUUACAUCGUUUGAUGCUCGAAUCCUACCUGCUCCAAUAGUAAUUAUGUGUCAUUUUGUUUUAUUUGUAACAGGAUUGUGGUACUUCCAAUCUCCUUGUGCUUAACUUUACCUCCUGUAAUGCUGCAGCUUAAAUAUCAUGAAUCUGGCAGAGAAGCAAGCGUGAAUCCUGAUUUUGGGCAAUGGAACAUGAUUAACAAGGUGAAUUACUGAUUAUUAUUUUAUUCCGUAGUUGUUGAUUUGUGCUUAGGAAGAGCAUACGGAAGCGGUUACCACUUGUUUAAUCUGGUUGAGGGAUGUUUAUUGACUGAUGGGUAGGAUGGGUUGGAAGUUGAUUUGCUACAUUUGAUGCAAUGUGGAUGUGCUGCAUUUCUUUUGCAACCAUAAUUUUUUAUUUUUUUUUUCCGUUUUAGCAUGCUGUAAUUUCUAUUUAGUUAUAUACUUUUUCAUCUUUGACAAGCAUUGUAUCUGAUAUUCACUUAGGUAUUCGGAUUGUAUGUGCUUGGUGUUCAGCUCAAUCCACUUUGCCUUCUGAAUGGGAAGUAUUUUUUUGUUCACACUGAAUUAUUUUGUGUAAUUUUGGUUGUACAGAAAAUGUUCAAUGGUGGGACAGUGCAAGUUUGGACUUGUAUGAACUUCUCAACGUGUUUGAACCAGGAUGUGAUCGUGUUCUGUCAACGGUUGGUAGACAUGUGCAAUAGAAAGGGAAUGGUAUGGUAAUGUUAAUGGUAUGGUAAUGUUAUUUGUUUUGCAAUUCAUGUUAGCAAUUUAGGUUAAUGGUCUCUCUGAACCGACUUUUUUCUUUUGGGGGGUCCGUGUUUAUCAUGCCAGGUAUUUAACUGCCGGCCUGUCAUUCCCAUAAGUUCAUACAACCCAUAUCAAAUUGAGAAGGCACUUGUAGACGUUCACAAUAAGACUACACAGCCAGGGAAACAGCUUCAGCUGUUGAUAAUUAUUUUACCAGAUGUUAGCGGAUCAUAUGGUGAGUGAUAAAUUUAAUCAAGGAUUAAACUUUAAUGUCAGCUUUGGUUUUGUUCAACAUUAUCGGCUUUCUGCUCGCAGGAAGAAUUAAGCGAGUUUGUGAAACGGAACUUGGGAUUGUUUCACAAUGCUGUCAGCCUAAGCACGCAUCCAGUUGCAACAUGCAGUAUUUUGAAAAUGUGGCUCUUAAAAUCAAUGUGAAGGUUUGCUUUGCCCCCAUUUUUUUGCGUGUUCAUUAUCAUGGUUAAUAUUUGAGAACCAAUACAAGGGUUGGCAGGAAAACAUGUAGGAGAUGAUUUUUUUUUUUUUUUGGCAAUUUAAUUUCAGUCUUGAUUUGCUGGAAUUAUUGUAUUUUUUUUGUUCAAAUAAUCAAAUUCUGAUGUUCAAGAUAUUUUUAUAAGUGUUUGGGAGUGCCAAAAUUUCUUGUUAAAAUUGAUAGGUUUGCUUAUUGGUACUGGGGAUUCAGUUUGCUAUUUGUAAUUUUAUCAGGUUGGAGGACGAAACACUGUGCUCGAUGAUGCUGUUCAGAAAAGAAUUCCUCUUGUGACUGAUAAACCUACAAUUAUAUUUGGUGCAGAUGUCACCCAUCCACAACCAGGAGAAGACUCUAGCCCUUCAAUAGCGGCCGUAUGUGCACUGAUUUUCUGUUUCUGCUUUCUAGUAAUUCACUCUGUUAAAAGAUUGAAUUGACUGAGAUAGGUGGUGGCCUCAAUGGAUUGGCCAGAAAUAACCAAGUACAGAGGACUUGUCUCUGCUCAGGCACAUAAUCAGGAAAUUAUCCAAGAUCUCUAUAAAUCUAUUAAAGAUCCUCAGAGGGGUUCAGUUCAUGGAGGGAUGAUCCGGUUAGUAGACAUGGAAGUACAUAUCAGGUGCCUUAUUAUUAAGAGAACCUUAUGCUUCUGUUUGUCUUUUACAGGGAACUGUUAAUUGCCUUCAAAAUAUCAACCAACCGUAAACCUGAGAGUAUUAUUUUCUACCGGUAAUGGUUGUUUUCAAUGUUAAACUGCAUGUUUUGUAGAAUGUUACUGAUGUUGUUUCAUUUAUGUGCCAGAGAUGGUGUUAGUGAAGGGCAGUUCAGUCAGGUUUUACUCCAUGAAAUGAAUGCUAUCCGGGAGGUAAUGCUGAUGAGUCCUGAAGUUAAUACAAUUUUCUUGUGUUCUAGAGAUUUUCAAUAUCUAGUUUCAGUUAAUUUCUUGUUGAUGACUUUUGUUGCAACAUGCUAAAUUGACUUAUCUCCAGGCCUGUGCCUCACUUGAGGAGGGAUAUGCGCCACCAGUUACGUUUGUUGUGGUACAGAAAAGGCAUCAUACUCGCCUUUUUCCUGGUGAUCACAACAGACGCGAUCUGACAGAUAGGAGUGGAAAUAUUUUACCAGGUUCCAAGUUAUCUUUGUAUUAUUAAUCUUUAUUUUCUAUUUGCGUCUUUUGAGUAUGCAUAAUGGCUGGGAACCAUGUUGUUGCUUAACCUUGUCUUUGAUGAAUAUUUUUGGGAUGUCCCUGUGUUAGGAACUGUUGUUGAUACUCAUAUUUGUCACCCUACAGAAUUUGAUUUUUACCUCAACAGCCAUGCAGGAAUUCAGGUUAAAAAAAAAAAUUAAGUUUGCUAUUUCAAUCCAGGUUAAAAAAAUAAAACAAUGUCCCCCCCCCCCCCCCCUCUUGAAUUUUUAAAUGUGUUGGACUGAUUAAGGUGUUUAUUCCAGGGAACCAGUCGCCCAACUCACUACCAUGUAUUGUAUGAUGAGAACCAUUUUACUGCAGAUGACUUGCAAUUGUUAACAAAUAACUUGUGUUACACGUAAUAUGUUUACCUUCUCUAUAAUGGGAUUUAAUAUUGCAUUGUUGAAGAAUUUAUCUUUCGAGUGGUUAUUUUGUAAGUUUUUGACUCGUGGCCCAUUUUCAGGUAUGCAAGGUGUACUCGAUCAGUUUCAAUAGGUCUGACCCUUGUACUUCUAUUGUUUUACUAAAAAUAUUGCUAGCAUUGAUUGAUUUUUUUUUUCUUUUUAUUUUUUGUAUUGGCUGUUUUCAUAUGGCAGUGCCUCCUGCAUACUAUGCACAUUUAGCAGCUUUUCGGGCUCGUUUUUAUAUCGAGGAUGAAACAUCUGCGGGUGGAUCCACAGGAGGGACUAGGAGCACGGCGGAGGGGAGUUUGGCUAUCCGGCCUCUUCCCGUCAUCAAGGAUAAUGUGAAAGAUGUAAUGUUUUACUGCUGAAAGUAGUCUCCAGCAUCAAUCCUCUUUGUCAUGGUUUUCAUCAAGGCUUGACGUGUUUUGGUAUAUGGAGUACAGCGUGGUGCCGUUUUUGGACAGUACUGUUAUUUUGGGAGUAGUUUCAAAUUGGACAUCAAGGGUAGAAACUGAUUCUCCUUAUGUUAAAAAUGUUAGCUGCAUAUUGUCCUGGUUAAUGCUGGUUAAUGCCUUGUAAAUUUAAAUGCCAAAAAACUUCAUUUCUUGGUGGGGUUAUUUGAUCUCACUGCACGCUUUUUUAAAUUAACAUUUUUGGACAGUGCUGAUUAUCUCACUGCACUCUUUUUUCAAUUAACAUUUUUAUUCUGAAAACAUAAUUGGAUCAAUUAUAUAUUUGAUCUUAUUUUCUCUCUCGAUCUCUUUCCCUUAACCAAAAUUUAUUGUAAUAUGUGAAGUAAGUAUUGAAUUUUCUAAUUAUUCAAAAAGUAAUAAAUUCAGCUCAAUGGUAAUUAGAAACAAGAUGAAAGAGACAAUGUUAAUCAUUUAGAAAUAAAAAAUAAGAGUUUUUAGACUGUUCUAAAUUUGUUAGAAUUUUGAGAAAGAUGAAGUUGAUUUUGGAGAGAAUAAAAUUGAAAAGUAGUUUAAGCUUUGAUCAUUUCUACAGUAGACAGAAAAAUUAGAGCCAAUUUGGGAUUGCGAAGGCAUAUGAAAUAAGCAGCUUAUGUGUUGUGCAGGUGAAAUAAGUUGUUGAUAAAAAAAGUAGUUUAGUGUUUGGAAAACUGUAUUGUUGUGGUUGCUAAGAAUUUGAAUAGUACAGUACAUGUGUUUGGUAAAUUAUAUUACGAAAGUAUUGUUUUAUUAUAUAAUGAGCAAAAUAGAUACAAGUUUUAAUUACUUUUUAUUUUUAAAGUAUGUUUAAUAGAUUAUUUAUACAUAUCUUUUUUCUUAUUGUUUUAUAUAUAAUGACUAAGAUAGACAUAAAUUUUAAUUACUUUUUAUUUUUAAAGUAUAUUUAAUAAAUUAUUGAGACAUAUCUUUUUUUCUUAAAUGCAUAAAAUUACAUUAAAAAACUCAAUUAAAAAAAUCUAUAGAACUUCAUAAUUUAUUACAAAAAAAAUAUGAUAAAAAUAAAGUUAUGAUUCAUAUAUUAGGGUUUAUAGAUAAAUAAAAUAUAAUUGUCUUUUUAUUAAAUUCUAGGGUUAUAAUAGGAAAUUUAAAAAGGUAUGGUAACUUAUUAAAUAAGCUGUUUAUAAAAAGUAAUUUGUUACCUGCUUUUAAAAGUUGCUGACAAAAUGGAAAAAAUUAUGAAAUAAGUUGAUUUUAUAAAAUUUUACAAACAUUAUUUUUAUUAAAAAUUAUGAAAUAAGCAGUUUAUUAAAUUUCAACUACAAUUCUAAACUGACCCUUGGUUAAUCAAAUAUUUUUUGUGACUUUUGAGAAUUAGUGAAUUAAAAUAAUAAAUUAUCAUAAAAAAAUGAUUUUUAGAAGGAAAAUCAACGUUUGCCUCAAUUGUUUGAUGAGGCGAAUGAUGCAUGUAUACGGUUGGGUACAUGCAGUUGUUUUUAACUAAGAUGUAUAAAUAGAUGAACAAAUACUGCAAAAGCGAAAGUAUUUAAUUAAAAAAUGUCAUAAAAAUUUCUUCAAAGCCGGUGAUCGUACUACAAGUACAUUUAAGCAGUCAGCAAGAGUAUUGAACUGUGUAUGCUUCCUUUUUUCAUUUCAAUUACCCGUUAUUCUUCUUGUACGGUGGCUUCUGAAUUACUUUCUUUACUUUUUGAGAGCUCAAGCAAUUCCGUUGCUUCUUCCACUUUUGCAGCCAAUGACUCAAAGUGAAUCCAACAGCACGAUCAUCUCGGAGAGAUCCAUUUCCAAAAUCAUCUCAGUAAUCUUUGGUGAAAGAUCACACUGUCCAAAAGUUACUUACAUGUAAAUAUCAUUAAACCAAAGCUUAAAGCAGGUGAAAAUUGUGAGUACAUUCGCAGAAGGUUAAAACUUCAAUUUACUCCCUUAUUUUAAAAGACAACCUACUACUUACCUCAAAAAUAUAAAAACAUCAAUUGAUGUCUUUUAUUAUUAAAAAGACAAAAAAAAAUAUUAUCAACACACUUUUCGUUUGUCCUAAUCUUUUGAACGAAAAUGAAAAUAAACUGAAGAUUAUCAUUUUACCCGAAGAUGAAUCAAAAUUGACCCUUCACAAAAAAAUAUGAGCAAUCACCUUGAGUUUCUUCACCAGCGGGUAGAGUCUUCGGCCAAGAAUAUCUUUCCUUUCAUUAGGGGAAGCAGCAGCAAGCAUGCUGCUCAAAUUUUCAUUGUAAGCAGCAGCUCUUUAAUUCCCAUUUGUCAGCUCUUUGAUUCCCAUUGGAAAAUUUAGCAUUGCCCAUUCAUCCUUCCUCCUCUAUAUUGCCUUACAGAAUUAGGAGCCUGUAAUACAAAAUUUUUAAUCCCAAAGUUAAGCAGAAGCGCAACAAUUCCAAAUACAUCCUAAACUUGAUUUUACGUUACCAUUAGAAACAAAGGAGAAGGAGGAGGAGGAGAAAAUCCAUUAGGAAUCAUGCCACCAUGCCUGAACCCUGGUGCUUGGUACACUUGUAAUGCACGUUGAUAAAGGGUCGGAUGCAUAGGAAAAAUGGUGCUACCAAGUCCUGGCCCUUGCUUUGCAUACAUCAUUCGUAGGUACGAAGUUCUUUCUCGCUUUGUUUGAGCAAUGGCCACAUACAAUGGCUUUUGAUGAAACAAGAUGCCAUUCAGAGUAUUUAUGGCUCGAUUGGCUUCAUCAGGAUUAGAGAAACACACAAAUCCGAACCCUUUGCUAAUACCUCGAUUAGUUCUCAUGAUCUUAACAGAGCUGAUAAUGCCACACUGGCUAAAAUAUUGUUUCAAUUCAAUUUCGUCAACGUCAUCAUUUAUGUUCUUCACAUACAAAUUUUUAUCCUACAAUUGACAAACAUCUUGAUUUUAGCAGGAUUUAACAAACGAAAAUAACGAUAUUAAUUAAGAGAGCAAAUAACCAAAAAAAAAAAAAACACCUUGUAUAAUUCAGCACGCUCUUUGCGCAUUCUCUCAAAUUAAGCGCGUAAAAUCGCCUUUCGUUCAGCUUUCUUCUGUGCAUUGUGUCUUUGGCUCUUUUAACAUCAUCUGGAUUUUCAAAAUUCACAAAACCAAAACCCUUUGAUGUCCCGUUAGCAUCUUUUGAGAUAACCAAACUUAUUAAUAUUUUUCCAAACUCGAAGAAUUUCUCUACCAAAAUCUCCUCAGUCACAUCAUCAUCUAAAUUCUUGACGUACAGGUUGUUAAAAAAAGCACUUUCUUGAAUCCCCCCAGCCCUUCUGAUGAAUGGACCAACAUAGCUGCCAAUUAAUGCCAGUGAACAUUAUUAAUGCGACAAAUAGUAGAUAAAUUAGCAUAUAUACAAAGAUGACACAUACAACUGUGGCUGGAUCCAAUAACUAAUUGCACCAUUGUUUUGCCCCUUUUAUAGAAUGUAAAAUUAAAAUUUACUAUUAAAAUUGUCAAAAACCACCAACAAAGUGUUGGCUCCACUGGCAAUGGAGUCCCCUUAAGUGACUUGACUGGGUUUGCUCCCUAGUUCGAGUCGCAGGGAAGUCGCCUUUGUUGGGAGAACCUGUGCCUCCCGGUUCGAGCGGGGACUUCUAGUCUGGGUUGUGGUACGGGCUUAAAGGUGCCUCCCACAGUUGGGGCCCUCCCCAGGAUACCUCGUGAUUAAUAUCAAAAAAAUUGUCAAAAACCAUUACGUGUGGCAAUAUUCAAAUCCGAAUUUAAAUCUGCAUUGAAAUUUUGAGAUAUGGAUCCACAUUUUUUUUUUAUUGGAUCUGAUUAAAGGAAAUAUUCGUAAAGAUUGCAGGCAUAUAUUUUGCAUAUCUAGAUUCGCAUGAUUCAAAAUUCAUAUAUAAUUUAAAAUUUAACAAAUUUGCCUAAUAAAAUCCAAUUAUAAUUGAACGAUCAACAAUUCAACACCUAGAAUAACAUUCAACAAUAUUAAAUUCAUAAAUAAAAAUACCAUAAAAUAAAUCAAACAUCAAAAAUAACAUAAAUUUAAGUCUAACACCACUACAAAUCCAUAAAUACGAACACCACAAGUCCACUUAGAUUCAAUUUAAAACCAUCACAAAUAAAAACACCACAACAAAUCUACACAAGUUUGAUUUUUUUAAAUUUAACAUAUAUUUUUUAUUCAAUUUUAAUGUAAUAAAUAAUUUAAUUAAAAAAUAAUGUGGAUCCAAAUAUUCAAUUUUCUGGAUGCAUUUGCAUCCGAAUCCGUACAUAUUUAUUUUUUGGCAUCCUAAUCUAUACUUUUCAAUAUGUGGAUCCAAAUCUUUACAAAUCUGGGUCGGAUCUAGAUUUUUUUACGAUCCCUACAAACAAUUACCAUGUUUGAUAGGUUAAAAAAAUAUAGGCACACGUUAGACAAUAGUAUAAAGUUAAGAGUAUUGGACUAUUCUUUUUAAAAUUAAAUCAGUCUUUUGUUUGGUGCUGCAAAGAUAAGUGAGGAUUAUGUACCUUAAGACCACACCAUUUAAUCUUGGACACAUACUUUUAUAAAGUAGAAUGAAAAAUUUUCCCAUAGGGACCCUAGGGAUAAUGUGGGAUAAUUUUUUUCAUGCCUAAAAAUAAUUGUAGAAUAACUACACAAUGAAAUAUCUAUAUCUAUUAUUACAUUAUAUUACAUUGAUUAAAUAUGUAUUUACUUCAAUAUUCAUUUUACUUAAAUAAUAAUAAAAAUGUUAGAAUUUAUAUUUUGUGUGUUUGUGUGUGUGUUUGUAUGUAUAUACAUACAUAUACACACAUAAAUGAUCAAUUACACACAUUAUUGUACGCGACGAGCCAUGUGUCAUUUAAUGAUUAGUUGUGUCGCACAUCUAAUUAUGUGUGUGCAUUAUAAUAUUAAUAAUAAUAAAAUAAAAACAACUUAAAUUAAUAUUCAGGUUUUUAAUUUAAUAUUUCGAAUAUUCGUAUUAUUAAAUUUAUAUUUAUAAAUUUACUCUUAUAAAUAAAAUACUUUUAAAUAUUUAAUAAUUAAUAAAUCAAUAGUAAUAUACUUUAUUUUCUUAUAAACUGUUUUAGUAAAAUCCUACAUAGUAUACCAAACAUGAGAUAAUAUUAAAUAUAAAUCCAGCCCAAUCUUAUUUUAUCCUACUAAACCCAAUAUAUUAUUACCCAUAAUCCAUCUUAUAAAAAAAAAAGUAAUUUAAGUUCUCGUGCUGACCGGAGGGAAACCUGAAAGGCGGAAAGCCUAGCUAUAGGGGUGUUCAGAAUCUAUUCCAAUCCGCUCAACCCGUCUGAUCCGUAAAAAUUUGAUCCGUGGAUUGGUGAAUUGGAUUGGAUUGAAAAUUUGAUAAUCUGCAAUCGGUGGAUUGGAUAUGAAUCUACUUCUAUAAAUCCGCAAAAAUCCGCGAAUCCGUAAAAAAAUAAAGAGUAUUUAUUUAAUUAAAAAAACUUGUAAAUAUGACAUUAUUACUUACUAGUAAAUAAAUAAGUUAAAAUAUAGUUAUAUUAACACUAUAUUAUAUCUUAUCCGAUGAUAAUAAAAAAUAAAAAAUAAACAAAUAAAUAAAUAAAUAAAGCUUCUUAAAUAGUUAAUUUCCAUGUGCUGAUAUAAACUAAUGAGAUUUUUUUCGUUUUGGUGUGUUAUAUUUUGAAACUUUAAAUGUAUUUUCUACCUUUAUUUAAACAGUUAAUUUAUGUAAAUCUUAUUUGAUUUUAAAUUUCAUCUGUAGUAAAAUUAUUUUUAUAUUAAUUUUUUUUAUUUAGUUAGUUUGUGGAUUUGACAAAAUUUAAAAUUUUUAGUCCGCAAAAUAAUAGAUUAGAUAUGGAUUAGGUCAAAUCCGCAUCCGAUCCACAGAUAUAUGGAUUGGAUUUGAAUUAAAUUUCACCAAUCCGUGGAUUGAAUUAGAUUAAAAAUUUAUAAUCUACAAAAUCAUGAAUCGGAUAUAAAUUAAUGGCCAAUCCAUAAAAUUCGAUUUGCGAACACUCCUACCUAGCUGAAGCUCUUACCUCAAUUUCCAGUUGAAAAUUAAUAAUUAAUAAUCACUAAUAAAAAAUUAAAGAUGAACGCUCACUAAUUAAUAAGUAAUUUAAGUUCCUUUUUAUUAUUUAUAGGGAAAUUUACACUAGUCUACCUGUUUGUUUUGCCUUUUUUAAAAAUACACAAAUAUUUUUUUUUUCAGUGCGCCACCUGAAGUUUGCUUUUUGUUGCAUUUUUCCACUUCCGUCUAAUUUCCGUUAGUGGAUUUAACGGAAUGUUAACGAAAUGACCUUUUUACCCCUCAAAAUUACAAUUUAACCUAAAAUAAAUGGAAAUUUGAGAUAAAUUGGAUGUAUUUAAAUUUUUUCAAAGGUGGAUGCUAGAAAUUGGAGGAAAAUAGUGUUUGUUGCUUGCUAAAUUUAGAAAAUUUGUAUUUAUUUUCUAAAUUUAGCAAGCAACAAACAUUAUUUUCCUCCAAUUUCUAACAUCCACCUUUGAAAAAAUUUAAAUCCAUCCAAUUUAUCUCCAAUUUUUAUUUAUUUUGGGUUAAAUUAUAAUUUUGAAGGGUAAAAAGGUCAUUUUGUUAAAUUUACUAACGAAAAUUAGACGAAAGUGGAAGAAUGUAACAAAGAGUGAAUUUGAGGUGGCGCGCUGAAAAAAAAAAAAAAGUAUUUGUGUAUUUAAAAAAAAGAUAAAAUAAACAUGUGGACGGUUGUAAAUUUUCUUUAUUUAUAUACACUUCCCAUCUUCCUCUCUCCUUCUCUCUGUUUCUUCUUAAGUCGUCGCUCUCUCGCUUUAUUUGUGUGACCAUCACUUCAAUUCGGUUCCUCAAAAUUUCCUUUCAUUUUACCUUUCUGCUUUCGACAAUGUCUCGACGUGGUGGCGGUGGUCGUAGGCCGGAUUCUCGCCGUGACCAGCCGACUCAGGCACGGGCGCCGUCAUUCCAGCGGGGUGGCGGCGGAGCCGCUGGACCACGCGGCCGAGGUCGUCAAGGUCAACGAGGGGGUGCUGGUCGUGGAUCGCAUUCCGGCUCCGGUGCAGCCCCGUCCUCACCGCACACCGCUUCGACUUCGACGGAGCCGGCUCCUUCGUCUCCGUCUGUUUCUGCUUCUGCUCCUUCUUCGUCUUCAGUCUCUACUCUUGUCGAAGAAACGGAGCAGAAACUGACAUUGGCGGCACCAGCGGCGGCUACACUUCCGCCUUCGUCGUCGCGGGCGGUGAGACUUCCAGUGAGGCCGGGAUUCGGAACCCGUGGCAGAAAAUGUGUUGUCCGAGCAAAUCACUUUAUGGUGCAACUUGCCAAGAGAGACAUUCAUCACUAUGAUGUAAGUCUACUUUUAAUUUUAACUUCGUUAUUUUUGAAAACGUUUUGACUCUUUUUAUUUUUUAUUUUCCAUUUUUCUCGUCAAUUAAGGUUUCAAUUGACCCAGAGGUGACGUCACAAAAGAUCAACAGACAAAUUAUUUCUCAGCUGAUUAAUUUAUAUCGGCUGACUAACUUGGGUGAACGAAUACCUGCCUAUGAUGGUAUGAAGAGCAUUUACACUGCAGGGCCGCUGCCUUUUGAAUCGAAGGAAUUCAUUAUCACGUUACCUGAUAGUGAUCCUCGUCCCAGCUCAUCUGCCAGCCCGGGGUAUCUCAUGCUUUUAACACGUGUGUUUCUUGAAUAUUGUUGAUUGUGAGUUUUCUUGAUUUAAUGUGUCGAGUGAUUUCUUAUGCAGAACGGAGCGUCAGUUUAGGGUGGUUAUCAGAUUGGCGUCGCAGCCUUAUGUUUACACUCUACAGAAGUUCAUACAAGUGCUUGAUGUUGUUCUCAGAGCAGCUCCAUCAGAGAAGUAUUUAACCUUAACUGUGUUAAUAAAAGUUUCACUUUUUGGUAUGUAUGAUAUAGGAUGUUCCGUGCCCAUGCCAGCAUUUGCUUGUUCAUGCAACUGAUUGAGCAUUUGAUUUCUGAGGAACAAUUUUAUUAUUGUCUAUUUUGUGCCUUGAACAAUUUAGGUUUUAGAAUGGUUAAUUAAUGAAAUGAUGAACUUCUGCAUCAGGCAUACAGUUGUGGGAAGGUCAUUUUUCUCAACUGAUCUUGGACCAAUGGGUCAGCUUGGUGAUGGCAUUGAAUAUUGGCGUGGAUAUUUUCAGAGUCUUCGCCCAACCCAAUUUGGGCUAUCUCUUAAUAUUGGUUUUUCUCAUUAUAUUUUAUAUAAUUUGAUGCUGCUUAUCUUUAUAUUAUCCAAGCUUGAUUUUUUCUUUUUUAGGUGCAGCACUGCUACAUAAAUAUUUGCUUUUGCUGUUGCAGAUGUUUCAGCCAGCUCCUUUUAUAAGCCAAUUCUAGUUACUGAGUUUGUUCAGUAUUAUUGCAGCGACUUAUCACGUCCUCUUUCUGAUCAAGUGCGUCUCAAGGUAUUGUCUAGUCUUCUUUCGUGAUGUCAUGGUUAUAAUUAAUUUAGUAUCAAUUUAAUGAGCUAUCUAUUGGGCGGUUAAAAGUUUUAAUUGAGGGCUGCAGCACUGUAAUAUAUUUGUGAUAAGAGCCUUUUCAAAGAAUGAUCACAGAUUUGUUAGGCAAACCGUUCAGUAAUGUUUUAGAUGCUGUGUAUAAUUUAUUGCAAGUAAUUAGUAGUUUAAAAUUUCAAAUUUCUUGCAAAUUUUGGAUAGGGUAAUUUCUUAAUUUGUGGCUGAACUGGUGGGUAGUGAGUAGUGUCUGUUGUUCUUGGCCAUUGAAAUCUAAAUAGAAUGAGCUCCCAAGUCUGAGGGGAAUAGAAUGUUGAUGACAGGGUUUGAUGAUCAAUGUAGGAAGUUGGUGUAUAAUUUGGCCUACAAUUCUGAUGAUAAAGAAAUGAGAUCUUGAAAUGGCGGUUUUAAAAAUCUUCCACGCAUUCAUUUGCAAUUGUACAGUUAUCUUGAUCAACUUAUUAUCAUUCCGUUACGUAUAUUAGCAAUCUUUUGAACUAUCUGUAAAAUUUUUACUUUCGAUCUAUUUUGGCCGCUAUUUGACAACCGCCCUUUAAUUAUUUUCAAAAUUAUUGCUGGGAAUGGGAUAGAGACAUGUGCUCAAUGAUAUUAAUAUAAUUGUUUAAUUCUUGACUUCUAGGUGAAAAAGGCAUUGAAGGGAAUAAAGGUAGUGCUCAGGCAUAUGGGGUACAACUUAAGUUGCAAGAUCACUGGAAUAACCAGUCAACCGAUGAGCCAAGUAAUGUAUGUGUGUGUGUAAUUAACUGAUAUACAAGUGUAAGAACACUGUCCAACUUGUGGUGAUAGAGUGUGAUAACAUAACUUGGUGGUUUGGUUGUGUUUAUGUUGGUAGAUUUGUUUAUGUUAGCUGAUUCUUGAGUCCCCCACGCCAUUUGAGAAGCAUACUUUAUGUUACCUGCUUUUGUCGUCAUCUGAAAUCCACAUAUGGUUAAAUUUGUCUUUUGUGUUGUAUUUUAUGUAUGAUUGAACUACUUGGUGGUAAAAAGUUUGGCGGAUGUGUCUCAAAUCAAUUUCUCAAAUCUGAUAUGUGAUAGUAGUUGGCUACUAUGUAGUGCGAUGGUCACUUGAUAUUGCCUGUAACAGUGAUGUAUCCCUCCUUCCAUGUUAUAGUAGGCAUUCACAUUAUAUCUUCCCUUUGAUUGUAUUUGCUAGGUUUACUUGUGACAAUGAGACAAGGUCGGUGGUUCAAUAUUUUCUUGAAAAACAUAAAAUUGCGCUUCAAUUCACGUCAUUGCCUGCCCUUGAAGCUGGAACUGAAGAGAGGCGCAUUUAUUUGCCAAUGGAGGUUCUAUGAUCAAAAGACUACUUUCGUUCUUUGUGUCUGGAAAAUAAUUUAUUUAAGACUUAUUUAUAGAAUAUUUUUGUUUACAGCUUUCUAGGAUACUCGAGGGACAGAGAUAUACUAAAAGAUUAAAUGAAAGACAAGUAACUGCUCUUUUAAGAGCAACCUGUCAGCGUCCUCAGGAUCGUGAAGCAAAUAUACACAUGGUAGAGCAUUGUUGUAAUUUCUUACAUCUGUGGUGGAUCUUUUUUGGAUGAUUAAUCUGGGAGCUAUCUUCUUGUGAACAAAGAGAGUUUCUGAUUCUUGCUUCUGGGUUUGACAUUCUUCUGCAGAUGGCUAGGGAAAAUGCUUACAAUGAAGAUACUCUUGUGAACAGAGAGUUUGGAAUUCAAGUGGUUGAUGGUCUUACAUCGGUUAAUGCUCGAAUCCUACCUGCUCCAAUGGUAAUUAUGUGUCAUUUUGUUUUAUUUGUAACAGGAUUAUGGUACUUCCAAUCUCCUUAUGCUUAACUUUACCUCCUGUAAUGCUGCAGCUUAAAUAUCAUGAAACUGGCCCAGAAGCAAGCGUGAAUCCUGAUUUUGGGCAAUGGAACAUGAUUAACAAGGUGAAUUACUGAUUAUUAUUUUAUUCUGUAGCUGUUGAUUUGUGCUUAGAAAGAGCAUAGGGAAGCAGUUUCCACUUGUUUAAAUUGGUUGAGGGAUGUUUAUUGACUGAUGGGUAGGAUGGGUUGGAAGUUGAUUUGCUACAUUUGAUGCAAUGUGGAUGUGCUGCAUUUCCUUUGCAACCAUUAUUUUUUUAUUUUUUUUUUCAUUUUAGCAUGCUGUAAUUUCUAUUUAGUUAUAUACUUUUUCAUCUUUGACAAGCAUUGUAUCUGAUAUUCACUUAGGUAUUUGGAUUGUAUGUGCUUGGUGUUCAGCUCAAUCCACUUUGCCUUCUGAAGGAGAAGCUUUUAUUUGUUUACACUGAAUUAUUUUGUGUAAUUUUGGUUGUACAGAAAAUGUUCAAUGGUGGGACAGUGCAAGUUUGGACUUGUAUGAACUUCUCAACGUGUUUGAACCAGGAUGUGAUCGGGUUCUGUCAACGGUUGGUAGAUAUGUGCAAUAGAAAGGGAAUGGUAUGGUAAUGUUAAUGGUAUGGUAAUGUUAUUUGUUUUGCAAUUCAUGUUAGCAAUUUAGGUUAAUGGUCUCUCUGAACCGACUUUUUUCUUUUGGGGGGUCUGUGUUUAUCAUGCCAGGUAUUUAACCGGCGGCCUGUCAUUCCCAUAAGUUCAUACAACCCAUAUCAAAUUGAGAAGGCACUUGUAGACGUUCACAAUAAGACUACACAGCCAGGGAAACAGCUUGAGCUGUUGAUAAUUAUUUUACCAGAUGUUCGCGGAUCAUAUGGUGAGUGAUAAAUUUAAUCAAGGAUUAAACUUUAAUGUCAGCUUUGGUUUUGUUCAACAUUAUCGGCUUUCUGCUCGCAGGAAGAAUUAAGCGAGUUUGUGAAACGGAACUUGGGAUUGUUUCACAAUGCUGUCAGCCUAAGCACGCAUCCAGUCGCAACAUGCAGUAUUUUGAAAAUGUGGCUCUUAAAAUCAAUGUGAAGGUUUGCUUUGCCCCCAUUUUUUUGCGUGUUCAUUAUCAUGGUUAAUAUUUGAGAACCAAUACAAGGGUUGGCAGGAAAACAUGUAGGAGACGAAUUUUUUUUUUUUUUUUGGCAAUUUAAUUUCAGUCUUGAUUUGCUGUAAUUAUUGUAAUUUUUUUUUUCAAAUAAUCAAAUUCUGAUGUUCAAGAUAUUUUUAUAAGUGUUUGGGAGUGCCAAAAUUUCUUGUUAAAAUUGAUAGGUUUGCUUAUUGGUACUGGAGAUUCAGUUUGCUAUUUGUAAUUUUAUCAGGUUGGAGGACGAAACACUGUGCUCGAUGAUGCUGUUCAGAAAAGAAUUCCUCUUGUGACUGAUAGACCUACAAUUAUAUUUGGUGCAGAUGUCACCCAUCCACAACCAGGAGAAGACUCUAGCCCUUCAAUAGUGGCCGUAUGUGCACUCAUUUUCUGUUUCUGCUUUCUAGUAAUUCACUCUGUUGAAAGAUUGAAUUGACUGAGACAGGUGGUGGCCUCAAUGGAUUGGCCAGAAGUAACCAAGUACAGAGGACUUGUCUCUGCUCAGGCACAUAAUGAGGAAAUUAUCCAAGAUCUCUAUAAAUCUAUUCAAGAUCCUCAGAGGGGUUUAGUUCAUGGAGGGAUGAUCAGGUUAGUAGGCAUGGAAGUACAUAUCAGGUGCCUUAUUAUUAAGAGAACCUUAUGCUUCUGUUUGUCUUUUACAGGGAACUGUUAAUUGCCUUCAAAAUAUCAACCAACCGUAAACCUGAGAGUAUUAUUUUCUACCGGUAAUGGCUGUUUUCAAUGUUAAACUGCAUGUUUUGUAGAAUGUUACUGAUGUUGUUUCAUUUAUGUGCCAGAGAUGGUGUUAGUGAAGGGCAGUUCAGUCAGGUUUUGCUCCAUGAAAUGAAUGCUAUCCGACUGGUAAUGCUGAUGAGUCCUGAAGUUAAUACAAUUUUCUUGUGUUCUAGAGAUUUUCAAUACCUAGUUUCAGUUAAUUUCUUGUUGAUGACUUUUGUUGCAACAUGCUAAAUUGACUUAUUUGCAGGCCUGUGCCUCACUUGAGGAGGGAUAUGCGCCACCAGUUACGUUUGUUGUGGUACAGAAAAGGCAUCAUACUCGCCUUUUUCCUGCUGAGCACAACAGACGUGAUCUGACGGAUAGGAGUGGAAAUAUUUUACCAGGUUCCAAGUUUGCUUUGUAUUAUUAAUCUUUAUUUUCUAUUUGCUUCUUUUGAGUAUUCACAAUGGGUGGGAACCAUGUUGUUGCUUCACCUUGUCUUUGAUGAAUACUUUUGGGAUGUUCUUGUGUUAGGAACUGUUGUCGAUACUCAAAUUUGUCACCCUACAGAAUUUGAUUUUUACCUCAACAGCCAUGCAGGAAUUCAGGUAAAAAAAAAAAGAAAAUAAGUUUGCUCUUUCAAUCCAAAUUUUAUUCAUCCAGACUUGUUAAACAAUGUCCCCCCCCCCCCCCCCAAAUUUUUUAAUUUGUUGGACUGAUUAAGGUGUUUGUUCCAGGGAACCAGUCGCCCAACUCACUACCAUGUAUUGUUUGAUGAGAACCGUUUUUCCGCAGAUGGCUUGCAAGUGUUAACAAAUAACUUGUGUUACACGUAAUUUGUUUACCUUCUCUAUAACCGGAUUUAAUAUUGCAUUGUUGAAGAAUUUAUCUUUCGAAUGGUUAUUUUGUAAGUUUUUGACUCAUGGCCCAUUUUCAGGUAUGCAAGGUGUACUCGAUCAGUUUCAAUAGGUCUGACGCUGUGUACUUCUAUUGUUUUACUAAAAAUAUUUUGAGUCAAUGAAUUAUUAUUAUUCUGGCUAGCAUUGAUUGGUUUUUUUUUUCUUUUUAUUUUUUGUAUUGGCUGUUUUCAUAUGGCAGUGCCUCCUGCAUAUUAUGCACAUUUAGCAGCUUUUCGGGCUCGUUUUUAUAUCGAAGACGAAACAUCUGCGGGUGGAUCCACAGGAGGGACUAGGAGCACGGCGGAGGGGAGUUUGGCUAUCCGGCCUCUUCCCGCCAUCAAGGAUAAUGUGAAAGAUGUAAUGUUUUACUGCUGAAAGUAGUCUCCAGCAUCAAUCCUCUUUGGUAUAUGGAGUACCAGCGUGGUGCCCUUUUUGGACAGUACUGUUAUUUUGGGAGUAGUUUCAGAUUGGACAUCAAGGGUAGAAACUGAUUCUCCUUAUUUUAAAAUGUUAGCUGCAUAUUGACCUGGUUAAUGCCUUGUAAAUUUAAAUGCCAAAAAACUUCAUUUCUUAUUUUAAAAAUGUUUCUGAUUCUCCUUAUUUUAAAAAUGUUAGCUGCAUAUUGUCCUGGUUAUUUGAUCUCACUGCACUCUUUUUUAAAUUAACAUUUUUAUUCUGAAAACAUAAUUGGAUCAAUUAUAUAUUUGAUCUUAUUUUCUCUCUCGACAAAAUGGAGAAAAAUAUUAAAUAAGUUGUUUUUACAAAAUUUAACAAACACUAUUUUUAUUAAAAAUUAUGAAAUAAGCAAGUUAUUGAAUUUCAAUUGUAAUCUUAAAUUGACUCUUAGUUAAUCAAAUAUUUUUUGUGACUUUUGAAAAUUAGUGAAUUAAAAUAAUAAACUAUAAUUAAAAAAUGGUUGUAAGAAGGAAAAUUAAAGUUUGCCUCAAUUGUUUGAUUAGGCGAAUGAUGCAUGUAUACGGUUGGGUACAUGUAGUUGUUUUUAACUAAGAUGUAUAAAUAGAUGAACAAAUACUGCAAAAGCGAAAGUAUUGAAUUAAAAAAUGUCAUAAAAAUUUCUUCAAAGUAUUAAACUGUGUAUGCUUUUUUCUUUUUUUUUUUUUUACUUUCAAUUACUCGUUAUUCUUCUUGUACUGUGGCUUCCGAAUUACUUUCUUUACUUUUCGAGAGCUCAAGCAAUUCCGUUGCCUCUUCCACUUUUGCAGCCAAUGACUCAAAGUGAAUCCAACAGCACGAGCAGCUCGGAGUGAUCCAUUUCCAAAAGCAUCUCAGUAAUCUUUGGUGAAAGACCACAUUGUCCAAAAGUUACUUACAUGUAAAUAUCAUUAAACCAAAGCUUAAAGCAGGUGAAAAUUAUUAGUACAUUCGCAGAAGGUUAAAACUUCAAUUUACUCCCUUAUUUUGAAUAACAAUCUACUAUUUACCUCAAAAAUAUAAAAACAUAAAUUUAUCUCUUUUAUCAUUAAAAAGACAAAAAAAAAAUAUUAUUAUCAACACCCUUUUCGUUUGUCCUAAUCUUUUGAACGAAAAUGAAAGUAAACUGAAGAUUAUCAUUUUACCCGAAGAUGAAUCAAAAUUGACCCUUAACAAAAAAUAUGAGUAAUCACCUUGAGUUUCUUCACCAGCGGGUAGAGUCUUUGGCCAAGAAUAUCUUUCCUUUCACUAGGGAAAGCAGCAGCAAGCAUGCUGCUCAAAUUUUCAUUGUAAGCAGCAGCUCUUUAAUUCCCAUUUGUCAGCUCUUUGAUUCCCAUUGGAAAAUUUAGCAUUGCCCAUUCAUCCUUCCUCCUCUAUAUUGCCUUACAGAAUUAGGAGCCUGUAAUACAAAAUUUUUAAUCCCAAAGUUAAGCAGAAGCGCAACAAUUCCAAAUACAUCCUAAACUUGAUUUUACGUUACCAUUAGAAACAAAGGAGAAGGAGGAGGAGGAGAAAAUCCAUUAGGAAUCAUGCCACCAUGCCUGAACCCUGGUGCUUGGUACACUUGUAAUGCACGUUGAUAAAGGGUCGGAUGCAUAGGAAAAAUGGUGCUACCAAGUCCUGGCCCUUGCUUUGCAUACAUCAUUUGUAGGUACGAAGUUCUUUCUCGCUUUGUUUAAGCAAUGGCCACAUACAAUGGCUUUUGAUGAAACUAAGAUGCCAUUCAGAGUAUUUAUGGCCAAUACUAAGAUGCCAUUCAGAGUAUUUAUGGCUCGAUUGGCUUCAUCAGGAUUAGAGAAACACACAAAUCCGAACCCUUUGCUAAUACCUCGAUUAGUUCUCAUGAUCUUAACAGAGCUGAUAAUGCCACACUGGCUAAAAUAUUGUUUCAAUUCAAUUUCGUCAACGUUAUCAUUUAUGUUCUUCACAUACAAAUUUUUAUCCUACAAUUGACAAACAUCUCGAUUUUAGCAGGAUUUAACGAACGAAAAGAACGAUAUUAAUUGAGAGAGCAAAUAACGAAAAAAAAAAAAAAACCUUGUAUAAUUCGGCACGCUCUCUUUGCAUUCUCUCAAAUUAAGCGCGUAAAAUCGCCUUUCGUACCGUUAGCAUCUUUUGAGAUAACCAAACUUAUUUAAUAUUUUUCCAAACUCGAAGAAUUUCGUACAGGUUGUUAAAUGAAGCACUUUCUUGAAUCCUGCCAGCCCUUCUGAUGAAUGGACCAACAUAGCUGCCAAUUAAUGCCGGUGAACAUUAUUAAUGUGACAAAUAAUAAAUAAAUUAGCAUACAUACAAAGAUGGCACAUACAGCUCCAUUCCUUCAACGGUAGCAGCAUAAAGCUUCUCAAUAGCAUUGAGUGCAGAUUCUGGCGUUGAGUGUUGGACAAAGCCAUAGCCUUUGCUUUUCCCAUCUUGAGACACAACAACCUUGGAGGACUGAAUGUCUCCGAAUUUGGAAAAUAUUUGAUGGAGCUUCCAAUUGUCUAUUGUACUAGCCAAGUUCUGCCAAGUGUGUGUAUAUAUAUAUAUAUAUAUAUAUAUAGGAAACAGCAGACAAAAUGAUGAUCAACUAACUAAGGUAGCGUUUACUUUUUGGAUUGGAUUGGGAAUCUUGGGGAGUGGGAAUCCUAGGAUUGGGAGUGUGGAGUGGGAGUGGGAGUAGGUUGUUUACUUACACUUGAAUGGAAGCAUGGAAUGGAGAUCAGAAUCCAAUUUAUGUGUUUACUUUGUCUUGGAUUGGGAGUAAAUAGUUUCAAAUUACAAUUUUAUCCUUAUUUAACGAAUUAUAAUUUUUAAUUACAAAACUAAUAAAAAAUAUAUUUAAUGAAUAAUAUUUAUUUUAUUAUAUUUGUAAAUUUAUUAUAAUUAUUAAUAUUCUUAAUUAUGAACAAUAAAUUAUUAAUUGUAAUUUUAAUAUAAAAUGAAAUGUUAUUUUAUUUUAUUUUAUAUAAUUAUAUUAAAUUUAUUAUUAUAUAAAAUAAUAAUAUAAUAUUAUUUAGUACAAAAUUAAUAUUUUCUUAUAAUAAAGUAUUUAUUAUUAUUAUUAUUAAAUAAAUAUAGUACUAUUAUUUUUAAAAUAAAUAUAAUAAUAUUAUAUUUAUUAAUUCUCUAUUAAUAUAAUAUUAUUAUUUUAAAAUAAUUUUAACUUAGAAUCAAUGUAAAUUAUUAUUUAGUUAAAUAUAAUAUUAUUAUUUAAAUAAAUAUAAUAUUAUUAUUUAAAUAAAUAUAAUAUUAUUUAUUUUAUUUUAUUAAUUAUAAAACAUAAAAUAAAAAAAAAGGGUAGAAAUGGGAGAGGUGGGAGUGGAUUCCUACUCCCACCUCCCCCAAUGGGAGUCCCACUCCCACUCCCCACUCCAAAAAUGGGUGGGGCCCACGGAGUGGGACUCCCAAUCCCUCCCCAUUUUAAGUAAGUAAAUGCUGGAGUGGGAGGAAUCCACACUCCUCACUCCCACUCCAGCAAGUAAACACAACAUAAAUGUUUUCAUAUCCCAUGAAAAUUUUUUGUAAUUAAUUACCUUAACGAACACUUUGCCAACUCAAUCUGGCUUCAGAAUUGGGUGUCGACUACAUUACUCUAAUUGCUUUACCAUUCAGUAUUGUAUAAUUCAAUGCCUCUAUAGCCUUUGUUGCUGAUAAAAAAAUAAUAAAAGUUAAAGACGUUCAUUAGGAAUAUAUUUCAAUUGUUAUGAAAGUAACCCAGCAAAUCGUUUCGAAUUUAAUUAGGAGAACAAUGUCGCGUAUCGCUUUUUUUUUUAUAUUAUUACAUGAGACCAUUGUUCAAGAGUACAAUUCAUAGUACAUUAGAUUACAAUUUAUAUUUACAAAUCAAAUUAUUAUUGGGACUAGUUCACAUCAAUUCUUAUGAACCACUGCCCAAAAUUUUACUCUCUAUAACAUUCGAAGGACGUUUACUCCACGCACAUUUCGAAAAGAAGAAUACUGUGUUCACUCAAUUAAAGAAGGAAAUUAAAUUCUCACAAUACAUUGUGGGAGCUUAAACCCAUGACUUCACAAUUGUAAGGUUUGGAUUCUAACCACUAGGCUAAAGCCUAGUGGCUCGCCCCAUGUAAGGGUUUUGAUUAACGCUCUUGACCAAGUCCCAAACUUGUAGCCCUAACUCUAAUUAACAUUUCCUGAAACCAUAGGGUUUAGUCAAGUUGUUUUCAAGUAAUUUUAUUUAACUGACUAAUCAUUGCUCUAGUUCAAAUUCUGGGAAAGACAGAUGGUUAAAGAAUAGAUUGGUGUACGUUCUGUUUCCCGUAUUAUGGAAUUAUCUGCAAUAAUUCACUUUAUACAACAAAGAGUUGUACACAUAUAACUAGAAGUACAUAUUUGAUUCAAUUAAUUUUACGUAGGUAAUUAAAAUAGUUUUAGGAAAAUAUGUAUAUAUAAAUUAUGAACAUGCAUGCACGUACCACAGUGAAAGGAAUGAAAGUUGGCGUAGCCAUAGCGGAGUGAACGUCGAUGGAAGCUAUCAACGCAGAGCAUAGCCGAAGCAAGUCCUUCGAGUUUUGAGAACGAGAAGGUCUGAAUGAGCUGUUGUUCUGUUACUGUGGAGUCGAGGUCUCCAACGUAGAGCGAGAACAGUGUCCCCAGAAUUGCAGAGUCAUUAUUAUUAUGAGCACGAAGAGAAACUUCCAUGUUUAAGGAAUGAAUCAAUAUCAGAGAUGACACAAGAUUAAUUGCUUGAGUUCAUCAGAGCAACAAACUAUGUGUAUAGUUAAUUAUUUAUUAAGAACAUAAUUAAGAAGUUGUGAUAACGUGUAAUUCCUUUCCUCUUUAGGAAUUAGCUUUCUUAUUGAAUUCUGAUUUUAUUAUAGAAGAAACGACUAUAAGGGGGUGCCAAGCUUAAGCCCGCGCAUUGGCGGAAUGCAGAAGCUACACUAUCUCUCUCUAUAUAUAGUAGAACCUCUAAAUAGACAUACUCUAUAUAGGAAUAAUCUCUUCAUGGUAAUAAAAAAUUGUGAUCACAACUUAAAACCAGUUAUAAUUAAGAAUAAACUCUAUAUUGUAAUAAGUUAUAUUUUUUAUAGAUCCCGUCUUAAAUAAACUUACCUUCACAUAGUAAUAACAUUUUAAAAAUAUAUGUCAUGUUACGUUAAAUAAUUAAGAGAGAACAAAAAUAUAUGCUAUGUUACGUUAAAUAAUUAAGAUAGAACAAAUAUAUUUUUAAAGUUGCAACCACAUCUUUCAACUUGCAGGUAUGUAUUAAUUGGUCAGCAUAGACAUUUUCUUGUUAAAACCAAAAUAUUUCUAACUUCUCAAAUAAAUUAAACUGUCUUUAGUAAUAAAUUACAUUAGAAACAUUUUAGUGACAUAAAAUUUUAUUAAAAUGUAAAUAAUCCACUUGCUACGAAUCUUUUUAUGUUUGACUCGAAAAGUUUCGGUAACUUUCUUGUCAAAAAUAAAAAAUAACAACUCGUUUAUGUUAUUCGAUUCCCUUUCAAAUGCAAACAAAAAGACAAAUUCUUGACCAAAGUCAAUUAAGUUGGUAGCUUGGUUAUUUGAAUAGGAGUCUUGACAUGCUUCGUUAUUAAGAAUUGUCAUCAUUCUUCUUUCCAAAAAGGAAAUAAGGAAAAAAAAUAAUAGUAGAGCGAAGAAACAAAGAAAACUAUGAUUCGAAGUCAAAAGAAUUCAAUUUUUGAUGAUCAGUAUUCGUUUAAUCUUUAUAUUUUAAAAUAUAUCUUAAAAUAUUUUUGUUGUUAAUUAUGUUACACUUUUUAGUAUUGCAUUUUAUUUGUUUUGACAGUAAAACAUUAAUAAAAAUAAAUAUUAAUUUAUCGAAUUAAAUGUAAAGGUAAAAUAAUGAUAAUACUACUAUUAUUAUUUAUUUUAUUUGUAAACUAUUAUUAUUUUUACUUUUGUGGUUAAUUAGAUAAAUAACAUAUUUAAAUCUUAUUAUUGUAUUGUUACAAUAAUAUAUUAUAUUAUGAUAAUUUAAUAUAUUUAAAUUAAUAAAUAAUAAUAAUAUUUUUUUUUUGCAAAUUAUUAUUACUUUUUUAUGGUUGAUUCAAUAAAUUAAUAUAUUUAUUUUCUUUAAUGUAUUAUUACAAGAGUAUUAUUAUUGUAGAAACAAAUAAAAUGUAAGAGUAAAGGGUGUAACAUAAUUAACAACAAAAAUAAUAAAUUAAUAUUUUUAUAUUAAUAUCUCCAAGAUUGUUACAAGGUAUUAUUGUCAAAGCAAAACAAAAGUAAGGACAAUAAUAAAACAUAUUAUAAUAUCUAACUAUAGUAACUGAACAUAUACUUAACCUAAAAUGUAAUAUCUAAAUGAACACUUUACCUACUUGAUUAACAUAAUCAUAUAUACAUAAUUUAUAGUCAUGUAAUGUGCCCUUGAUAAAAACUUAUGAUAUAAUAAUAAUAAUAAUAAUAAUAAUAAUAAUAAUAAUAAUAAUCUUACACCAUCUAUCAGUUAAUGACAAGUCACGUGUCGUAUUAUUUAAGAUCCAUUACGUUUUUUUAAUUAUGUAUUGAUAGUAUUAUUAACAAAACAAUUAUUAUUAUUUUUUCCUUCCCCUAGCUUCCACUAUUUUAUCUAUUUAUUUUUAUUUUUAUUUAUUUUUAUUUGGAAUGAAGCUUCCACCUUAAACAAACGAAGAAAGUGCUGACCAGCUGGUAAGAUUCCUAAAAAGUGUAAGCAAGACGACGCACUUUCGAUUGUUGAAAUGAAUCAGAAGAGCUAAAGCCGUUUCUUUAUGCGUUCCUUAAUGUUGUAGAUGUAGUUCUCUUUUUUCUUUUUUCAUAAACUUGCACCCACAUGGAGGUAAGCGAAACUGGCUUUUGCCUUUCGUUCGUUCAUCAAAUUUUAAUAUCACUUAUUACGUCGCUUAAUUGAAAUCUCAUGUAUUUAUUUAAAAAAUAAAAAUAAAAAAUUAAGAAGUUGAUACAAAUAAAUGAGAAGAUAAAAAUUAGUUGCAUUAAUAAGAUAUUUUAUUUUCAAGUGAGUUUUUAAUCAAAGAUUCUCAAUUUUAAAAAUUAAAAAAUAAAUUAUUAUAUAUUAAAAUUUAUUGAUAACAUAACAUCUUCAAAAUGUUCUAAUAUUUUUUAUAACAGAACAUGAAACUAAAUAAUUUGGUGAUCGUCAAAUAAUUUUUAUUAAUUUAAAAAAAAUAAUUAAUACACUCUUAAAAUAUUAUAAUAAUUUUUAUAACAAUACAUCCAUAAAGUAUUCAAAUGAUAAUAUUAUUAAUAUUUAUUGAUAAUGGCACCUCAAAGUUCAACUCUAAUUGCUUCUGAGCUACGCAAUUAAGUAAAGUAAAUACCAAGAAAGUCACAUCAACGCGCUUUGUGACACAACAACAUGACGUUUAAAGAGCCUCGCGGCAGAUGCAAAUAUCGAUUGACUGAAAAGAAAGCUCAAAUUGACAAUUCGUUUAGCCCAACAGUUUAAAAUACUGAGUGAGAUCUUGGCAUAAAACAGUGAAAGCUAAAGCAUAAAGAAAAGAAUGUUUAAGGAAAAGAGAAAAAAAAAAAAGAGAAUGAAGAAGAUGCUUUAUCUCUCUUUUUGCGUCAUUUAGAACGCAUGCCAACCAUGCACGUCCACGUCAUUUUAAUCCACGAAGAGAUAGAUAGAUCACUAACAGACAGAGUCAAUAUAUAUUCUUCAUGUCAAUUAUGGCGAGAGCUUUUCCUUUUUCUUUGGGACACAUGGUCUGUGAGGUAUGCUCGCGGAUAAAAUUCAAAUUAAUUUCUUUGACCUAUAUCUAAAAUAUUUAGGAUUUAAAUCGGUUAAAUAAAUCAAUUUUAAAAAUCACUCAAAUUAAUCCUCUUAAAAAUAAGAGAGCCAUGUUUACUUUAGGAGACCACUGAUAUUAAAUUACUAAAAUGAUAACAUCAAAAUAAAAUUGGUAUUAUUGUUCGUGCCGUCACAAUACCAUUGUAGUACACAAAAUGACGACAUUGUUCAUACUAAAAUACUUUUCUUUUCUUGGUAGUUAAAUAUUAUUUUUCUUUUUUAUUACACGUGAAAGUAUUUUUAUUAUUAGCAAUAAACAUGCACAAUAAGAAGUGAACAGAAAUUAACAAUAUUUUAAAUUUAAAUAAUUAUCGUAGACUCUCGUAGACUUAGCUAAACUUUUACUGCAUGCGCGCGCACACACACAACAUAAAAAUGACACCGCGAAUUAAAAAAACUGUAAAUUUUGCGAGGGCUCGAUUUUAAAUUUGCACAGAAAUCAGACAAAUUUCAGAUCAGUCCCUUAUGUUUCUCUGAAAUUUAUUCCAUCCCCCCCCGACUAUCGAGUACAAGGCGCCAUCAUAUCCUCUGUAGCAUUUCUAGAAUCUUGGAAGUGGUCCCGCGCAUUUAGUCCAUCGAUCCUUGUCACCUGAUGGGAGUAAAACUCCUCGGUCAAAAGGAUUUGGUAUUCUCGCGGGCCCCACAAAGGAAAUUAAAAAACUAAAAAGCCAAAAAUAGGCUGCGCAUAGAAUACCAUGAAGCGGAAGUCCCUUCCUUCGGAAGUUGUUUGCAAGAGAAGACUUGGAAAUUAUCUACAACGUGCUAUCCCACCGUGUCUCCCGUAGACGCCAGCUUCGAUUGAUCCAUCCCAACUUUGUCUUUAUCAAAUUAUAAACGUCCCGAAGAAGCCCUCUUCGCUCGACACGUGCACGUGCAUCAAAGGUUUCGUGUUAGCUUUGCGUUAUUUGCGAUUUUAAAGAAAGUGCCGUUGUACGGUUCUGCUGUUCCUUUAUCGCUUACGUGUAAAAGGCCUUGCUGACUCCUCGCAGACAGCCCCACUGAACUCUUUCAAUUUCUUAAAAAAAUAUAAAGUAAUGGAUACCGACUUGGCAAAACGGAUGCGCACAUGUGCUUGAGAAAUCAGAUUCCCAACCCCCCCCCCCCCCCAACAGUAAAAGCGUGACCAAAUACUAUCGAUUUUUAAUAAUUUUUUAUUAAAAAAUAUAUAAUUUUCUUUACGUUGUGUGAAUGGGGUCCACAGGCGGACAGCCAAACUAGAUGCCUUGGGAAUCGUCAACCCUUCGGGCUGGAAAACGCCCCAAUUUUAAGAAGGAGCGCCGCCUAAAAGCUAUGAUUAACUUGUCGUCAUACGCGCCCAGGGAAAGCGUGUGUGGGAGCAAAUAUUCAAACGCCGGGACUAUUGGACACGUGUGAUAGUUUAAAGAGGCCGUAGCUCUGAGCUUUGCAGGAAUAAAAGGCUGAUGGUUCAGCACGCGCUCAUGGAAAAUUUUCACUCGUUCCAAAUUCCAAUCACCUUCUGUUCUUCCACAGCGACUAUGUCCAUUGACCCCCAGACACCUGAUGAUUAUUUUGGCGGUCUUUUUUCAUUUCACAAAUUUUACCCUUUGCCAUCUUCACCUGGUGGGUGAAAUUUGAUUUUUGGGUACAAUGCAAAGUGGAUUUAAUCAUAAACUUCUUGAAUUAGAAUUAGAAAAAAUAUUCACCGCCUAUUCAUUUUUUUUUUAAAUAUACAAUUUUUUUUUUUGAAUCCACCUAAAAUUAUAUUUUGUUUUACUUUUUCACUUCUGUUUGAAGUUCGUUAAGAAAACUAACUGAAACUUAAAAAAUGACCAUUUUACCCCCAAAACGAAAAUUAUAAUUUCACCCUAAAAAAUACCAAAAAUAAUAAGAUUUAAUGAUGAAUAUCAUUAUUGGUACGUUAAUGAAGUAUAAAAAAAUCUUAACUACUAGAGAUUAUAACUCAAUGAAUAAUAAAAUUCCACUUAUUUUAAAUUCAAUUGAUGGUUUGCGAGAUUGAGCUAUUUUUAAUACUACUGUUAUAAUUUAGUAUUCUAAUUACAGACAUAUUUAAAAAAAAAAACCUUGCAUUUAAAAGUUGUGGAAUUAAUUUCUUUAUUGACCGAUGAGGAAAAUAAUUAGAUUUAAUUUGAUUAUUUUUGGUAAUUUUUAGGGUGAAAUUAUAAUUUUCGUUUUGGGGGGUAAAAUGAUCAUUUUUUUAAGUUACCGUUAGUUUUCUUAACAAAUUUCAAACGAAAGUGGAAAAGUGAAACAAAAUAUAACUUUAGAUGGAUUCUAAUAAAAAAAAAGAAUUGUGUAUUUUUGAAAAGUUAAAAAAAAUGGGUGAACGAUAAAUAUUUUUCCUUAGAAAUAUUAUCUGGAGGGUAAUCAUAAGUUUGGUCCUUUUACAGAAUGUAGAUUUAUGGUGGUGUUUUUGUUUGUGAUGGUUAAAAGAAUAUAGGCACGCAUUAGACAAUAGUAUAAAGUUAAGAGUAUUGGACUAUUCUUUUUAAAAUUAAACUAGUCUUUUGUUUGGUGCCGCAAAGAUAAGUGAGGAUUAUGUACCCUAAGACCACACCAUUUAAUCUUGGACACAUACUUUUAUAAAGUACAAUGAAAAUUUUUAUCCCAUGGGGACCAUAGGGAUAAUGCGGGAUAAUUUUUUUCAUGCUUAAAAAUAAUUGUAGAAUAAUUACAAGAUGAAAUAUCUAUAACUAUUAUUACAUUAUAUUAUCACAUUAAUUAAAUAUUUAUUUACUUUAAUUUUCAUUUUACUUAACUAAUAAUAAAAAUAUUAGAAUUUAUAUUUUGUGUGUUUGUGUGUGUAUAUGUAUGUAUAUUGUGUGUAUACGUAUCUAAACAUAUACAAAUGAUCAAUUGCACACAUUAUUGUACGCGAUGAGCCAUGUGUCAUCUAAUCAUGGUUGUGUGGCACAUCUAAUUAGGUGUGUAUAAUAAUAAUAAUAAACAACUUAAAUUAAUAAUUAGGUUUUUUAAUUUAAUAAUUUGAAUAUUCAUAUUAUUAAAUCUAUAUUUAUAAAUUUACUCUAAUAAAUAAAUACUUUUAAAUGUUUAAUAAUCAAUAAAUCAAUAUUAAUAUACUUCAUUUCUUAUAAAUGAUUUUAAUAAAAUCCUACAGUAGACCAAACAUGAGAUAAUACUAAAUAUAAAUCAAACCCAAUCUUAUUCUAUCCUGCUAAACCCGUCUUAUAAAAAGAAGUUAUUUAAGUUCUAAUGGCAGCGGGAGCUGGAAACCUGAAAGGCCGGAAGCCCAGCUGAAGCUCUUACCUCAAUUUCCAACUGAAAAUUAAUAAUUAAUAAUUAAUAAUUAAUGAUGAACGCUCAUAAACAUAAAAAUGAACGAUCUUUCCUUUGCCCUCCAACGGGAGCAACUGAGCAAGUAGUAAGUGGAACCUCGCCACUUUCCUUGCAAAACGGGAGCAAGUAGCAAGUGUGUAGCAGUUACGGCAACAAAAGCGCGUGCUACAUUUACACGUCAUUAGUAUAAAAAGCUAGGGGUAAAUUCGUCAGAGAACCAAACAGUCGCCAUAUUGCCGCGAAGCAAUAAAAUAAAAAGAAUUUCCAUUGCACGCCUUGCAUUUAAUUCGAUCACUCUCUCUCUCUAUGUGUUAAAUCUUGGUCCUUAUUAUUUAUACACACGCCCCCUCUUCCUCCUUCCUUCUCUCCGUUUCUUCUUAAGUCUGUCGCUCUCUCGCUUUAUUUGUGUGACCAUCACUUCACUUCGGUUCCUCAAAAUUUUCUCUCUCAUUUCACCUUUCUGCUUUCGACAAUGUCUCGACGUGGUGGCGGUGGUCGUAGACCGGAUUCUCGCCGUGACCAGCCGACUCAGCCACCGGCGCCGUCAUUCCAGCGCGGUGGCGGCGGAGGCGCUGGACCACGGGGCCGAGGUCGUCAAGGUCAACGUGGGGGUGCUGGUCGUGGAUCGCAUUCCGGCUCCGGUGCAGCCCCGUCCACAUCGCACGCGGCUUCGACUUCGACGGCGCCGGCUCCUUCAACUCCGUCUGUUUCUGCUUCUGCUCCUUCGACUCCGUCUGUUUCUGCUUCUGCUCCUUCGACUCCGUCUGUUUCUGCUUCUGCUCCUUCUUCGUCUUCAGUCUCUACUCUUGUCGAAGAAACGGAGCAGAAACUGACAUUGGCGGCACCAGCGGCGGCUACUCUUCCGCCUUCGUCGUCGCAGGCGAUGAGAUUUCCGGUGAGGCCGGGAUUUGGAACUGUUGGCAAAAAAUGUGUUGUCAGAGCAAAUCACUUUAUGGUGCAACUUGCCGAGAGAGACAUUCAUCACUACGAUGUAAGUCUACUUUUAAUUGUGUUAUUUUUGAAGACGUUUUGCUGUUUUUAUUUUUUAUUUUUCGUUUUUCUCGUCAAUUUUGAUUUUAUUUAAGAUUCACCAUUCGUGAGCGUCGAAUUCGAAGGUGUCGGGGUUUUGUUGAUAUUUUAAAAAUAUGUUUAUUCUUUUGCUUAUUUAUUUAUUUAUUUUUAAGGUUUCAAUUACUCCAGAGGUGACGUCGAAAAAAAUCAACAGACAAAUUAUUUCUCAGCUGAUUAAUUUAUAUCGGCUGACUAACUUGGGUGGACGAAUACCUGCCUAUGAUGGUGUGAAGAGCAUUUACACGGCAGGGCCGCUGCCUUUUGAAUCAAAGGAAUUCAUUAUCAAGUUACCUGAUAGCGAUCCUCGUCCCAGCUCAUCUACCAGGCCGAGGUAUCUCAUGCUUUUAACACGUGUGUUUCUUGAAUAUUGUUGAUUGUGAGUUUUCUUGAUUUAAUGUGUCUGAGUAAUUUCUUAUGCAGAAGGGAGCGUCAGUUUAGGGUGGUUAUCAGAUUGGCAUCGAAGCCUGAUCUUUACACUCUACAGCAGUUCUUACGCCGAAGGCAUUUUGAAGUUCCGUACGAAGUUAUACAAGUUCUUGAUGUUGUUCUCAGAGCAGCUCCAUCAGAGAAGUAUUUAACCUUAACCGUGUUAAUAAAAGUUUCACUUUUUGGUAUGUAUGAUAUAGGAUUUUCCCUGCCCAUGCCAGCAUUUGCUUGUUCAUGCAACUGAUUUAGCAUUUGAUUUCCGAGGAACAAUUUUAUUAUUGUCUACUUUGUAUCUUGAACAAUUUGGGUUUUAGAAUGGUUAAUUAAUGAAAUGAUGAACUUCUGCAUCAGGCAUACAGUUGUGGGGAGGUCAUUUUUCUCAACUGAUCUUGGACCAAUGGGUCAGCUUGGUGAUGGCGUUGAAUAUUGGCGUGGAUAUUUUCAGAGUCUUCGCCCAACCCAGAUGGGGCUAUCUCUUAAUAUUGGUAUUUCUCAUUAUAUUAUAUAUAAUUUGAUGUUGCUUAUGUUUUAUAUUAUGCAAACUUGAUUUUCGUUUUUAGGUGCAACGUUGCUACAUAAAUAUUUGCUUUUUCUGUUGCAGAUGUCUCAGCCCGCUCCUUUUAUGAGCCAAUUCUAGCUACUGAGUUUGUUCAGUAUUAUUGCAGAGACUUAUCACGUCCUCUUUCUGAUCAAGUGCGUCUGAAGGUAUUGUCUAGUCUUCUUUCGUGAUGUCUUGGUUAUAAUUAAUUUAGUAUCAAUUUAAUGAGCUAUCUAUUGGGUGGUUAAAAGUUUUAAUUGAGGGCUGCAGCACUGUAAUAUAUUUGUGAUAAGAGCCUUUUCAAAGAAUGAUCACAGAUUUGUUAGGCAAACCGUUCAGUAAUGUGUUAGAUGCUGUGUAUAAUUUAUUGUAAGUAAUUAGUAGUUUAAAAUUUUAACUUUCUUGCAAAUUUUGGAUAGGGCAAUUUCUUAAUUUGUGGCUGAACUGGUGGGUAGUGAGUAGUGUCUGUUGUUCUUGGCCAUUGAAAUCUAAAUAGAAUGAGCUCCCAAGUCUGAGGGGAAUAGAAUGUUGAUGACAGUGCUUGAUGAUCAAUGUAGGAAGUUGGUGUAUAAUUUGGCCUACAAUUCUGAUGAUAAAGAAAUGAGAUCUUGAAAUGGCGGUUUUAAAAAUCUUGCACGCAUUCAUUUGCAAUUGUACAGUUAUCUUAAUCAACUUAUUAUCAUUCCGUUACGUAUAUUAGCAAUCUUUUGAACUAUCUGUAAAAUUUUUACUGUCGAUCUAUUUUGGCCGCUAUUUGACAACUGCCCUUUAAUUAUUUUCAAAAUUAUUGGUAGGAAUGGGAUAGAGACACAUGCUCAAUGAUAUUAAUAUAAUUGUUUAAUUCUUGACUUCUAGGUGAAAAAGGCAUUGAAGGGAAUAAAGGUAGUGCUCACGCAUAUGGAGUAUAACAAAAGUUACAAGAUCACUGGAAUAUCCAGUCAACCGAUGAGCCAACUAAUGUAUGUGUGUGUAAUUAACUGAUAUACAACUGUAAGAACACUUGCCAACUUGUGGUGAUACGGUGUGAUAACGUAACUUGUUGGUUUGGUUGUGUCUAUGUUGGUCGAUUUGUUUAUGUUAGCUGAUUCUUGAGUCCUUCAGGCCAUUCAAGAAGGAUAUUUUAUGAUGCAUGCUUUUGUCGUCAUCUGAAUUCCUCAUAUGGUUAAAUUUGUCUUUUGUGUUGUAUUUUUAUGUACAAUUCAUGAACUGACUUGGUAAACUUUUUGGCGGCUGUGCGUCAAAUCAAUUUCUCAAAUCUGAUUACUGAUAGUAGUUGGCUUCUAUGUAGUGCAAUGGUGACUUGUUAUUGCCUGUAACAGUGAUGUAUCCCUCCCUUCAUGUUAUAGCAGGCAUUCAUGGCUUAUCUUCCCUUUGAUUGUAUUUGUUAGGUUUACUGAUGACAAUGCGACAAGGGUGUCGGUGGUUCAAUAUUUUCGUCAAAGAUAUAAUAUUGGGCUUCAAUUCACGUCAUUGCCUGCCCUUCUAGCUGGAAGUGAAGCGAGGCCUAUUUAUUUGCCAAUGGAGGUUGUAUGAUCAAAAGAUUAAUUUGAUAUUUUGUGCUUGGAAAAUAAUUUAUUUAAGACUUAUUUAUAAAAUAUUUUCCUUUACAGCUUUCUAGGAUUGCCGCGGGACAGAGAUAUACUAAAAGAUUAAAUGAAAGACAAGUAACUGCUCUUUUAAGAGCAACCUGUCAGCGUCCUCGGGAUCGUGAAGCAAAUAUACGGAUGGUAGAGUAUUGUUGUAAUUUCUUACGUCUGUGGUGGAUCUUUUUGGAUGAUUAAUCUUGGAUUUAUCUUCUUGUGAAUAAAGAGAGUUUCUGAUUCUUGCUACUGGGUGUGACAUUCUUCUGCAGAUGGCUAGGACAAAUGCUUACAAUGAAGAUACUCUUGUGAACACAGAGUUUGGAAUUCAAGUGGCUGAUGGUCUUACAUCGGUUGAUGCUCGAAUCCUACCUGCUCCAAUGGUAAUUAUGUGUCAUUUUGUUGUAUUUGUAACAGGAUUAUGGUAUUUCCAAUCUCCUUAUGCCUAACUUUACCUCCUGUAAUGCUGCAGCUUAAAUAUCAUGAAACUGGCCGAGAAGCAAGCGUGAAUCCUGGUUUUGGGCAAUGGAACAUGAUUAACAAGGUGAAUUACUGAUUAUUAUUUUAUUCCGUAGUUGUUGAUUUGUGCUUAGGAAGAGCAUAGGGAAGCAGUUACCACUUGUUUACAUUGGUUGAGGGAUGUUUAUUGACUGAUGGGUAGGAUGGAUUGGAAGUUGAUUUGCUACAUUUGAUGCAAUGUGGUUGUACUGCAUUUCUUUUGCAACCAUAAUUUUUUAUUUUUUAUUUUUCCAUUUUAGCAUGCUGUAAUUUCUAAUUAGUUAUAUACUUUCUCAUCAUUGAAAAGCAUUGUAUUUGAUAUUCACUUAGGUAUUUGGAUUGUAUGUGCUUUGUGUUCAGCUCAAUCCACUUUGCCUUCUGAACGAGGAUCUUUUAUAUAUUCACACUGAAUUAUUUUGUGUAAUUUUGGUUCUAUAGAAAAUGUUCAAUGGUGGGAGGGUGGAAGUUUGGACUUGUGUGAACUUCUCCACCCGUUUGAAUCGGGACGUGCCAUUCCAGUUUUGUCAGGGGUUGGUAGACAUGUGUAAUAGCAAGGGAAUGGUAUGGUGAUGUUAUUUAUUUUGCAAUUCAUGUUAGCAAUUCAGGUUAAUGGCCUUUGUGAACCUACUUUUUCUUUUGGGGGGUCUGUGUUUAUCAUUCCAGGUAUUUAACCCGCGGCCUGUCAUUCCCAUAAGUUCAUCCAACCCAAAUCAAAUUGAGAAGGCACUUGUAGAUGUUCACAAUCGGACUGCACAGCAAGGGAAACAGCUUCAGAUGUUGAUAAUUAUUUUACCUGAUGUUAGCGGAUCAUAUGGUGAGUGAUAAAUUUAAUCCAUGAUUAAAUUUUUAUAUCAUUUUUGUUUUGUUCAACAUUAUCGGCUUUCUGCUUGCAGGAAGAAUUAAGCGAGUUUGCGAAACGGAACUUGGGAUUGUUUCACAAUGCUGUCAGCCUAGGCAGGCAUCAAGGCUCAAUAUGCAGUAUUUUGAAAAUGUGGCUCUUAAAAUCAAUGUGAAGGUUUGGUUUGCCCCCAUUUUUUUGCGUGUUCAUUAUCAUGGUUAAUAUUUACAAAUACAAGGGUUAGUGGGAAAACAUGUGGGAGAUGAUUUUUUUUUUUUUUGGUAAUUUAAUUUCAGUCUUGAUUUGCUGGAAUUAUUGUAAUAUUCUUUUUCAGAUAAUCAAAUUCUGAUGUGGGAGUGCCAAAAUUUCUUGUUAAAAUUGAUAGGUUUGCUUCCUUGGUACUGGAUAUUCAGUUUGCUUUUUGUAAUUUUAUCAGGUUGGAGGACGAAACACUGUGCUCGUUGAUGCUGUUCAGAAAAGAAUUCCUCUUGUGACUGAUAGGCCUACAAUUAUAUUUGGUUCUGACGUCACCCAUCCACAACCAGGAGAGGACUCUAGCCCUUCAAUAGCGGCUGUAUGUACGCUCAUCUUCUGUUUCUGCUUUCUUGUAAUUCACUCUGUUAAAAGAUUGAAUUGACUGAGACAGGUGGUGGCAUCAAUGGAUUGGCCAGAAGUAACCAAGUACAGAGGACUUGUCUCUGCUCAGGCACAUCAUGAGGAAAUUAUCCAAGAUCUCUAUAAAUCUACUCAAGAUCCUCAGAGGGGUUUAGUUCAUGGAGGAAUGAUCAGGUUAGUAGACAUGGAAAUAUAUUUCAUAUGCCUUAAUUAAGAGAACCUUAUGCUUCCGUUUGUCUUUUACAGGGAACUGUUAAUUGCGUUCAGAAGAUCAACAAACUUUAAACCUCAUAGGAUUAUUUUCUACCGGUAAUGGCUGUUUUCAACGUUAAACUGCAUGUUUUGUAGAAUGUUACUGAUGUUGUUUAAUUUAUUUGCCAGAGAUGGUGUUAGUGAAGGGCAGUUCAGUCAGGUUUUACUCCAUGAAAUGAAUGCUAUCCGGCAGGUAAUGCUGAUGAGUUCUGAAGUUAAUACAAUUUUCUUGUGUUCUAGAGAUUUUCAAUAUCUAGUUUCAGUUAAUUUCUUGUUGAUGGGCUUUUGUUGCAACAUGCUAAAUUGACUUAUUUCCAGGCCUGUGCCUCACUUGAGGAGGGAUAUGCGCCACCAGUUACAUUUGUUGUGGUACAGAAAAGGCAUCAUACUCGCCUUUUUCCUGCUGAUCACAACAGACGCGAUCUGACAGAUAGGAGUGGAAAUAUUUUACCAGGUUCCAAGUUAUCUUUGUAUUAUUAAUCUUUAUUUUCUAUUUGCUUCUUUUGAGUAUGCAUAAUGGCUGGGAACCAUGUUGUUGCUUAACCUUGUCUUUGAUGAAUAUUUUUGGGAUGUCCCUGUGUUAGGAACUGUUGUUGAUACUCAAAUUUGUCACCCAACCGAAUUCGAUUUUUACCUCAACAGCCAUGCAGGAAUUCAGGUUAAAAAAAAAUAUAUUAAGUUUGCUCUUUCAAUCCAAAUUUUAUCCAUCCAGACUUGUUAAACAAUGUACCCUUUUUCCCUCCCUAAUUUUUAAAUGUGUUGAACUGAUUAAGGUGUUUUUUUCCAGGGAACCAGUCGCCCAACUCACUACCAUGUAUUGUAUGAUGAGAACCGUUUUACUGCAGAUGGCUUGCAAGUGUUAACAAAUAACCUGUGUUACACGUAAUAUGUUUACCUUCUCUAUAACCGGAUUUAAUAUUGCAUUGUUGAAGAAUUUAUAUUUCAGAUGGUUAUUUUUUAAGUUUUUGACUCGUGGCCCAUUUUCAGGUAUGCAAGGUGUACUCGAUCAGUUUCAAUAGGUCUGAUCCUUUGUACUUCUAUUGUUUUAGUAAAAACAUUUUUAGUCAAUGAAUUAUUAUUAUUCUGGCUAGCAUUGAUUGAUUUUUUUUCUUUUUUUCUUUGUAUUGGCUGUUUUCAUAUGGCAGUUCCUCCUGCAUAUUAUGCACAUUUAGCAGCUUUUCGGGCUCGCUAUUAUAUCGAGGAUGAAACAUCUGCUGGUGGAUCCACAGGUGGGAGUAGGAGCACGGCAGAGAGGAGUUUGGCUAUCCGGCCUCUUCCCGUCAUCAAGGAUAAUGUGAAAGAUGUAAUGUUUUACUGCUGAAGGUAGUCUCCAGCCUCAAUCCUCUUUGUGAUGGUUUUCAUCAAGGCUUGACGUGUUUUGGUAUAUGGAGUGCCAGCGUGGUGCCCUUUUUGGACAGUACUAUUAUUUUGGGAGUAGUUUCAGAUUGGACAUCAAGGGUAGAAACUGAUUCUCCUUAUGUUCAAAAUAUAAGCUGCUGCAUAUUGUCCUGGUUAGUGCCUUGUAAAUUUAAAUGCAAAAAAACUUCAUUUUUUUGUUUCUGCUCUUAUUUUGCUAUAGGUGGGGUUAUUUG
rnacentral:lncRNA from 1 species